UUUUUUUUUUUGUAAAAUCUAUAUGCACCAUGUUCUAAAUGCAAGGAGUAUAAAAAAUCAUUCCAAACGGAUAAAAUCAUUUCCGAACUAGUAGUACUACUACGUAGUAAGUUAUCCCACUGUCAGUCAAACGCGAGGUCGCUUCUUCCAGCUGCAAACCAAGCUUGUUGACGCCCGUGUCAGAAUUCCCAUCCCCCCAUGGCGCUCCUGUCCCUCCUCUCCCACUCCAGAACACGCUCCUCCGUCCUCCGGGAACCUCUCCGGCAGGGGGGCCUGCGCGCCCUGCUCGCCCCGUGGGCUCCCCCGCCCGUGCAUCCGCACGACCGCGCCGCCGGACACGCCUGCACGCCCCCUUCCACCGAGACCUCCCCUCCUGGUCACCACCGCCCUCCUCCUCUCGACCGGACCCGCCUCGGGAGCCGGACGAUCUCCUAUGGCGUUGGUAAGGAGCUCUAUCUUGCCUGGAUUUGGAUCGAUUGUUCUGUGAGUUCAGUUGUGUGGGAUCUUUCUUUGCUGCAAGUGAUCUUCAGUUUUGUGAAAGUUUGUUGCCGGAUGCCCUACUAAUCUAAUCAAUCUGUUAUCCAUUCCCAUCCCAGCACGAGUAGAAUUACUGAUACAUGAAUUCGGCACAUAUAGUGUUUAGUAUUUAAUUUGAUUGCUAUUACACCCUGCAUCCCCUGCUCUUAGAGUUUCAGUUGUCAGACGGUUAUUUAUUGUUAUAGAACCAAGAUUGAUAUGGCUCCGCCGAUUUCUACGGAUCUACAGAAUACACCCACUCAGUGGCGAAAUGCAGGGGACAUUUUUAUAGUUACAAUCACAAUCACAGUAAAUUAGUUUGAACACAAACCCAAUGGUAUCAAGUUUGUAUGGCGUAACCCAUGUGUAAUUGGUUACGUAUUGAGCAAAGCAUAAAUUUGAACAACCAAAAUACUCCUGCAUUUUGCAACAGAGGGAGUAGUUUUUACUGGAAUGAGUAAAAUCUUAUGAUACAUGAUGAUACCCAGGAUCGACAAACCAUACCCUGGCUUCUCAUAGAAGAUCCUACUGGACCCUGUGUCCACAACAUCCCUCUCGUGGGCCUCCAGCUGGGAUAGCAACAAAAGAAGCACAGCAUAGUGUGAAUGAUCCGUUUGAAGUUCAACGGCGUACUUUUGGUUCUGCGGCAGAACCCAUCCAGAGGAAUCCCGACUUUUCAGUGCUAAACUCUGAUGACGUUUCUUACUUCAAGAGCAUAUUGGGUGACACUGGAGUCGUUCAAGAUAAAGACAGGGUGGCUGUUGCAAAUGUGGAUUGGAUGGGUAAAUACAAGGGUGCAAGUCAGCUACUGCUUUUACCAAAAAGUACUAAUGAGGUAUGUCUGUCAGCUAGUCAAGAGGAAUUUUAAUUUAACACCAAGUAGUUCGAAUUCCAUUUUGUGACAAUUGCAUUAGCAAUUAGUACAGAAGUGGCAGUAAUCAUUUUAAUUGUUUUAGCCUGAUUUGUAGUGGUUGCAUGGUGACCUUUCUGUAAUAUUUCUAAUGACCCUAAUGCCCCUUAAAUUUUCGCAGUUUAGAUGUCAACUAAGGUGCGAUUAUGUUUGUUUGGUUGCAGAAUAAAGUUUGUAAAGUUGUAGCUUACGAUUUAUGUUUUUGGCUUAUCACAUGGUCCAUCACACAAUUGCAUCUAGGCUAUCCGCUAUCAGGCUAUUCCAGUUACCAAGCAUGUACUUUUUGAUGUAUUCUUACAUGAAGUAACUAGUAAUCGUACAAAUUGUUCAGAAAGUUGUUAGCAUCAUAUGCAUUGGAUGUUUCAUGAAAGCCGUAUUUAGUAGCAAUAGAAAAUCAGCUUCGGCAGAAUGUAGCGCUUCAUAAGCAAAACACUGUAGCCUCUGGAUACAUAACAAACAAAAUAGCAUACAUCACUCUAGUGACCUAUGCUAAUAAAUAUUUUCUGAACAACAAUGCAUUUGCAUGGAAUGCUAAUAAUACCUCAUGCAGCAAACUAGGAGUACAAUUUAGGACUACAUUUCUAUUUUCAUAUUGCUCGGUUAUAUCUAGUUUUCUACCAUUCCUGAUCCGACUCAACAAAAAAUUAAUGUGAAAUUUUGUUAUUCAACCAUUCUGUUUUCCAGGUUUCUAAGGUCCUUGCUUACUGCAACUCGAGACGAUUGGCGGUAGUUCCUCAGGGUGGAAAUACAGGCCUCGUUGGUGGCAGUGUUCCAGUUCAUGAUGAGGUACUUAUGAAGUUCCUGUUAAUGAUAAUAUCGGUUAUAUCUUUAUUUUCCUACCACAAAACAUUUCUUUAUUUCUGAACUUAGUAUCAGUGGUAGAGUACUUUAGAUAAAUAUCCUUCUUGGUAUUCUCUACUUCCUUUCUGUUGCUGCAUGCCUGAAUUGCAGGGUAUACUUCACCAAAAUGAACUACUCCAUCCGUCCCAAAAUAACUGUCGUGGCUUUAGUUUAAAUUUGGGACGGAGGGAGUAUUUAUCUAGAUUGAUCAAUCAGAUUGAUUAGAAAAUCAUGGGAAAGAUUACGAUGUCGUUGAUGGGUGCUUCGAGUUUCCAUAUUCAUGUUUAGCAUUAUCACUACAGUUUUGCUGUAGUUCACUGUACUUGUUCAAAUACUUGUUGAUGUGACAUUUUUUUGUGCUCAUCUGUUUUAGAUUUCCAUGUUUUUAAUGUAUACUGCUUCUGAGAUUUCCAUGUUACUGCUUUCCUUACAUUCUGGCCCGAGAUCACAAGGUUUACUCCCUUUGUCUGCAGGUGAUUGUCAACCUUGGUGGUAUGGACAAAAUAAUCUCGUUUGACAAUGUGGGUACAGUCUCUUUGUUUGGAUUUGAUGUCGUGAAUUCUAUUAUCUAUCCUUUCUUCAAGCAUAAGUUGUCUAUAUCCAUAGUUCAUGAUUUUUUUUUGUAUAAUUUCAUGAAAGAGCUGUCUGCUAUCAGGUAAAUGGUAUUCUUACUUGUGAAGCUGGUUGUGUGUUGGAGAACUUAAGUACCUUUGUGGAAAAUGAAGGGUAAAGUCGUCUUCAGUCCCUCUUAUGAUUCUGUUCUCAUUCGUGGUGCAUACGUCUUGCAUUGCAUGCAUUUGAUUCAUAAAUAAUAUGUUUUCUUUUGAGUUGUCGGGUUACCAUUGACCCAUAAAUAUUCAUUAGUUCGUUGCUCAUGUAAUAUCCUUUUUUUACGGGAUUCCUACUUAUAUAAUCACCCAUGGAUACAAUGUGUGCCAGUACAGCGAUCGCUCAUAUAAUCUUGUCAUCACAGUUUACUUUUUUAUACGAUCAAUAUGUGCCUGUUAUUUUGAAUAGAAAAAUACCUAAGUUUAUAUGUAUUCUUUAUAUUCAGGUUUAUUAUGCCUCUUGACUUAGGCGCAAAAGGUAGUUGCCAAAUAGGCGGGAACAUUUCAACUAAUGCUGGCGGCUUACGCUUCAUUCGCUACGGUUCAAUUCAUGGAAAUGUACUUGGUAAGUACAAGUAAAACCUUAUAUUUAUUAUGUGCACAAAUCAGCUAUUUCUGAAGUCUCAUGUUCUAUAUAUUGUUUACCUGAACGAAGAAAGGGCUUAUGUGGAAUACAGUAUUUGUUUUGUUAAGUUUCUCUUGAAAGGAGCAGGAGUAUGUUUGCUGUUUGAGUAAUUCUGUUGCAAUAUAAGUUGCUGAAAUUACGAUGCUCUAUGAAGAUAAUCUUCUAGAAACUUUCAACUCUAUGCAAUGUUUAGGCCUGGAAAUAGCUGUAUGAUUUCUUAAAAGUACAAAGAUGGUUAGCUCUUCUGUAUUUUAUUUUCUUCUUAUUCAGGUCUUGAAGUUGUCCUAGCCAAUGGAACUGUUCUUGACAUGCUUACUACUUUAAGGAAAGACAACACUGGAUACGAUCUGAAGCACUUAUUUGUUGGUGAGUAUCGAAUACAAACUAUUUCCCUUCUUUCUGAGCAUGUUCAUUAAAUAUGACUUAUAUAGCAAGCCGUUAGUAAACACAUGAUUGAUGGUUCAGGAAGUGAAGGCUCACUAGGAAUAGUCACUAAAGUGUCAAUACUUACACCUGCAAAGCUACCUUCAACUAAUGUUGCAUUUCUUUCCUGCAACGACUACAUGAGCUGCCAGGUCUCCUGCAAACACUCAUUUUGUAUAUCUAGGCAGUGUUAGCCCUUGUUAUCAAAUGUACAGUAUGAUCUUUACUAUAGUGAUUACUGCUUUUCAUGUUCCCAGAAAUUGCUACUGGCAGCUAGGAGGAGCUUGGGUGAGAUUCUUUCUGCAUUUGAGUUUAUGGAUCGUCAGUGUAUUGAUCUGGUACUUACUUAAGCAAACUUUCAAAGAAAAUUGCACUUCAUAGAGAAGAAACUGCAUGCAUGUACUUUCUUGAACAGUAGGAUGUGUUGAAAUUUUUGUUAUGUACUCCCUCUGUCCCAUAAGAUAAGAUCGUUUUGCAAGCUGUUUUAGCUUGCAAAACAAUCUUAUAUUAUGGGACGGAGGGAGUACUUAGCAAAAUAAAACAAAAUAUUGUUUUGAAUGCGUUGUACAUGAAGAAAUGUUCCUUGUUAUCUUGCCUGAUUCCACAUUUAAUUUGGUAGCUUGUUGGUUUUGAAGGCUAUGACGCAUUUGGAAGGAGUUCAUAAUCCUUUACCUGUCUCGCCAUACAAAUUUUAUGUUCUAAUUGAGACCACAGGAAGUGAUGAAUCAUAUGACAAGUAAGUUUUUGUAGCAUAACCACAGUCUUCAAGCAUUACAAACACACAAGCUAUGCGGAUGAUCAAUUUGUUCAAACUCUUAAUUGAUAACCACUUUGUGAAGGUGAAAUCCUGCUUGGCUUGCAUUUAUUCUAUCUUGGGUUUAUUGUGAUGAAAAUUGUCAAAUUACAUAUGCUGUCUACCUGUCUUAUGUUGCUUUUCUAUUGUAGAGCAAAACUUGAAGCUUUUUUAUUGAGUUCAAUGGAAGAUGGCCUUGUAGCUGAUGGAGUUAUAGCACAGGAUAUUAGCCAAGCAUCUAAUUUUUGGAGAAUCCGCGAGGUUCUCACAUACGUGAAUCUUUAGAUUUUGCCAGUGACUAACAUCGGUAGCCUUUAAGUUGGUAACGAUCGACACUCAUCACACGACUAAGUGCUCUAUUGAAGCAACACAAGGUUGUGGAGGAGCCACUUCAACUUAUAGCUAGAACACUUAAGAAAACAUUACUUAAGAUUCAACAUUCUACUCAUGGCUAGAAGACUCUAGAAAACAGUAGCUAAGGUUAAGAAGACAAAAUAAAUACUCCCUCCGUCCCAAAAUUCUUGUCUUAGAUUUAUCUAGAUACGGAUGUAUCUAACACUAAAAUGUGAAUAGAUACAUCUGUAUGUAGACAAAUCUAAGACAAGAAUUUUGGGACGGAGGGAGUACUAGACUGCAGUAGUAUCUAGAAGUAGUCAAACAGAUUUUUGACUUCUGCUUCUUUUUCCUUUUACUUGUCUCUAUUGUUCCUCAUCAUCUAUGUUGCUGUUUAAUAAUACAAGUUAUCAAUGUGUAAGCUGAUAUUUGAUGGUUAACGCCGAGUCUCCAAUAUAAACUAAAAUGAUAACCUAUGAAGUGCUCGAAUAAUAUCUUGGUAUGUUAAGUUUGGCCUAUCGAACUAUUUGGUUUCAAACCUUUGGAAGUGAAAUUUCAAGUAUGAAACACCAAACCAAAUAAAGUCAACCGCCUUUACCCAUUGACAUAGUUUGUGGCAAAAAAAAUCAAUUAAAUGAUUAUGUGUUGUGGUUGCAGGGUAUAUCAGAAGCAUCUGUAAAAGUUGGUGCAGUCUACAAGUAUGACUUGUCCAUACCUGUAGAGAAACUAUAUGAUAUUGUUGAAGAAAUGCGCAGCCGUGUUGGUAAAUUUUCAAUUUUGAGCCAUCAGUAAUCUAAUCUAUGAGUUGUUAACAUAGUUCCUUGCUUUCCUAGGUGAUACGGCAGAGGUAUUGGGUUAUGGUCACCUUGGUGACGGGAAUCUCCAUCUAAACAUCUUAUCAAGCAAGUACAGUGACAAUGUAUGUCUGAUCUGACAUGGAAAUAGAUCAUUUACUUAGGUUUGGCUUCAGUUUCUCAAGAUAGGUAUGUGGCUACUUGCUUAUUUUGUCACCUUCAAUGAAAAUUUCAGAUUCUGGCACAAAUUGAACCAUUUGUCUAUGAGUGGACUGCUGGCCACAGAGGAAGCAUUAGUGCGGAGCACGGGCUGGGGCUAAUGAAAGCUGAGAAGAUUCACUACAGCAAGUCACCAGAAGCAGUAAGUAUUUAAAUACCAUCUUACCACCGCUUGUGUUCGCGCACAAAUUGUUACUUCAGUGCUAUAUAGAAUGUUGAGAGUUAAAUCAUUAUCUCCAUUUGUGAAUAAGGCCUUCUGUUUAAUUUCCUUUAGACUGGCGCACUUUAAUGUUUGGUGUGCCAAGUCCUAUUCUUGACUGUUUGUGCAUGACAUAUAUGUAUGUGCUGUGCCACAUUUUCAUGAGAGAAAUUUGGUUUAGCCUUUUAUGGUCUGGAAACAUUCUCUUGUUAGACUUUCAGUUAUGCUCACUUCCCUACAACCCUGGAGGAGGAGCGCUUGCUUUUUGUGCAAUGUUGGCAAUAUUAUGUUUCAGUGGAGCUCUGCCUUAUUCUUCUUAAAGAACAACACUUUAUUUGUUUCUUCAUUAAAAGAAAAACCUGCAGUUGUGUUCCAACUUUUCUACUAGUUGGCUGGUAAUUUACGCUUGACAGAAAAUGUUGUAUUGUGAUCACUUCAGGUGCAGCUAAUGGCUUCCAUCAAGAAGUUAAUGGACCCUAACUCAAUUCUAAACCCAUACAAGGUUCUACCUCAGUCUGCAUUGUCACUGGAGCAGGUAGGCUUCUUUUAUUUACCCUUGAGUAUGGAACUGAAUUACAUUUUCCCAAUGUUUUCACCUGAUUCAUACAACGGUUUCUACACCAACAGGGUAGCUGAUUGAGCUUGUUGCUUACGCAAAUCAACUUCAGAGAACAGAAGCUGUUGACUUGGAUAGAAGAGAUCUGUCUGUACCCAAUAAAAGUAUAUAAUCAAUAAAAUUCCUGUUGUUGUCAGCGUCUGGAGUAUUAUAAACAAUUAUUCAGAUGGACAUCAAACUAGGAAAAACAUCAAAUAAGCCCCUGUACAACUCAGGUGCUUGCACAUGCACCUCAGAGAAAAAGAAACUUUUUUUGGUGAGAUCAAUUUACGCAGGUGCUUUGAAACUUUGCACGGGAAAGACAUAUCUGAUUCUCUAACAAAAACAUGAUUGAAAAAGAAAACACAAGAGUAUCAGAAGAAUGGUACUCCGUUUUUCACAUUCAUAGUGAUCUUAUGUAGGACUCGUCGCAAAAAAAGAGAGUAGUGCAGGACCCUUGUUAUUCAGGGAAUGAGUUGCACUUGUCUUCAACAAUCACUCUUGGCACCCAUGAUCUGGAUGGAUAGCAGCAAGUAAGCAAAUACUUAGAUUGCCGACGUCACCAAAACAUUCUGCAUAUUACCUGAAUAUAAAUAAAUCUCAAGUACUCUUGGGAUCAAAUGAGAAGCGCCACCAUCCAUUAACAAAAAUCUCAAGCUCCCUCCAGUAAACAAAAUAUAUGUAAUCCCUAUCAUCUUGGCGCUGAAAAAUUCCAGAAUGUGCUAGAUCUAAAUCUACUGCAUAUAGCAUUCACUGUUAGAUGACUGAAUCUUUACCAGACGUCAUAUAAAGUAAGUGUUGAGUGUUCCCUGAGCACGGUUUUUCUAAGGCUGAGCUACACGGUGUUUUUUUCUUUCUGACUGUGCAGGCUUCUGUUACAGGGAUAUGAGCACAUUUUUGCAAAGAUGGAGCAGGAUCCGAGCUGGCUUUAGAUCUGCAAGUCUUGAAGCUGGAGCCGGAGCUGCGGCUGGCGCCCAUGUACCAGGAGCUUGGCACGGAGAUAGCAGGGACCUCCAGGGACAUGAUUGACUUUCCCCCCUGAAUUUCAUGUCUCGCUCAAUUUCACAUAUUUUCGAGGCAGCAAUAUCUACCUCAUUCUAUAGCUUGAUGACAAGCAAAGUGCGCGUCGUAUUCGUGGCUUGAACCAUGGCGAUGGCAGCGUCGAGUUUGAGCUCGCUGCGAACACCGACGGAAUGCUGCUUUAUUGGGGGCACUUUUGCUUUCCCCAAUGGUGGGCAUGUUUGGGUUUCCUUUUUUCAUCUCUAAAGGUAAGGAUAUUUUGUAGCAUUUGAGAACCCGAAAAAGAAAUGUUUUUAAAACAAACAUUACUGAAAAAACUCUCAAAAUAAAUAACUCCAUAUAAUAUGGAUAUUUGAUAGCAUAUACAUAGGUUCAAAAUCCGGACUGGACAAAACUAUACUCCAAUAUAUAUAUAUAUAUGGCGCUAGACGAUUUAGCAAAAUCUAACAUAACUUAAAACUAGGACAGAACUUAAAACUCCAUUAUAUAUGACGGUAGAUGGUUGCUUCAGCAUCAUUUCCAAUGUUCAAGAAUCGCUCCCAAACUUGGACAUAAACCUCUUCUUUUCCCUUAUCUGAAAGAGAAGGGUAAGAAUUAUUAGAACAAAAAUAAUCAAUUAAUCAAAAUAAUUAUGUUAGUUAUCAUCUGCAUGUAAUUAUUUUGCACGACAACUUCAUACAAUAGUUGACAAGAUAUAGUAACCAAGAACAACUCUAAGCAUACAGUGGGACAUAUUGCUCAAUAGAAGGCAAAAAUCAAGAUAUAUAGUGAUAUGAUAACCAAGAACGUGGACAACUGAUACUUGAUAGCCUCUGUGUAAAUGGGUAAAGCACUUCAAUAACACGGGGAAAUAAGGUUCUCUCACCUGAUUGUUAUGUCCACACUUCUUCUUGCGGCAGUUGGUGGCCCUGAGGGGUAGGCGUGCAUAGCACCUACAACGCAAUGACGAAAAACUUAGACAUGUCACACAAAUUACGAUUACGAAAAAAACAUAGUAUAUACAAUCCUGACUAGAGUGCUAGAUUGGCAAAAAAAAAAAUUCUUUCGAAAAGAGUACUAGACACAUAAAUAUAUCAAGAUCAUAAAGCAACCAUGCACAUGUCAAUUAAUGUGGGAGUGCAAAAUCUUAGUCCACUAAAAUUAUUUAAUGAGUUUUAAUCACUAUAUUGAGAUCUUACAUGUAGAUCCGUGUAGAUUUUUUUAAUUUUUUUAUUUCUUUUACUCCCUCCUUCCAUCUAUAUAGGGCCUAAUGCGUUUUUCGAGGUUAACUUUGACCAAAUGUUAGGGCAAUAAUAUAUGACAUGCAACUUACACAAAGCAUACCAUUAAAUUCGUAUGUGAAAGGAGAUUUCAAUGAUAUAAUUUUCACAUUAUGCAUGUCAUGUACUAUUAAUCUUGUCAAUAGUCAAAGGCGGCCUUGAAAAAAGCAUUAGGCCCUAUAUAGAUGGAAGGAGGGAGUAUAUGUUUUACAUCUAGUUAAUUCCGUUGUUCCUAGAAAUCAGCAAUAAACUCAGCCAAACCAAAACCACUGCUGAGUUCGAAUUAAUUACAAUCUAAAUUGAAGGUGAGAGGUGCCUCGAUCAACCGGCUAGCUUUUCAAAUUCUACACCUUAAACAACAAGGACACAUUUAUCACACAUGCAUGCGUAUCUCCAUGCAGACCAAAAAAAAGAAGAAGCAAAAGGUCAAUCCAUGAGGUGCAUACCUGCGGCAGACUAGUUUGUUCUCAUUGUACUUUUGAGCAAGGAUGCGGAGGUUGGGCUCGAGGUUCUUGGGGUAUUGACCUCUGCUGCCACCGCGGAGGCGCAGCACCAGGUGAAGCGUCGACUCCUUUUGGAUGUUGUAGUCGGCCAGAGUGCGGCCAUCCUCCAGCUGCUUCCCCGCGAAGAUGAGGCGCUGCUGGUCCGGCGGGAUACCUACAACAAAACAGAAACUUCCACAAUUAGUUCAUCCCUGAUUAACUCGUCUAUGUACAACAAGGUCGAUUUCCUAUCGAUUUGUCAAAUGAGAAGCUCAUCCUACGGCAGGUUCGACAAGCCGAUCCAAAGCUAUCUAGUAUAAGCAAAACAGUUUUUAUCUAGCUCAAAGAGACAACAUGGAGGAUGCUAGCUCUGAGCUAAAUUCGACAAGCUUACCAAAACCAUGUUAGUAGUGAGGUGCGCAUGGUAAAAUCAAACAAAAGAGACAAUAUGUGGGCUUUGCAAGAUCCGAUGCAACGCUGCUGAAAACUUGCGAUCAGCCGUCGGCUAGAGGGAAGAGGUGGGCGUAGUGACUCGUUCACAUAUAUACCUUCCUUGUCCUGGAUCUUGGCCUUGACGUUGUCGAUGGUGUCCGAGGACUCCACCUCCAGCGUGAUGGUCUUCCCGGUCAGCGUCUUCACGAAGAUCUGCAUCUUGCCGUCUCGUCGAUGGCUCUCGCUCUCCUCUCGCCGGGUUGUGCUUGGUGUUGGUGUCGACCGCUGCGUGAUGGACGUUCUUAUAUAGGAAUAGGCAGGAGGUGACGGGGCCGCUACGACAAGCCCCAGAACCCUAGCAAGGGAGGCGUGGCCGCCAAGAAGCUCGCGACCCGGUGGGGGCAGCGGUUCUGGGCUUUCGGUCAGUCGCAUGCUGUCCAUUAACUUUUUUUUUAGGUGAACGUUGUCCAUUGCCUCAAAAAAAAAGGGUGAACGUUGUCCAUAUAUAAUUUUUUUUUUGAGAAACGUUGUCCAUAUAUAACUAAACCUUGCACGCUUAAUGGCCCAGAGGGCCAUAUAGUGAUUUUGGUCUUGCAGUUGAUUUUGUUUUGUUGCUUUUGCCAUUCUUCAAGGUUGUUCGGCUUGAUUAAUCCAUGCGAGUAUGUGCAGAGCACUACGUAGAAUGGCAGGGAUGAUGCGGCCGUCUGCAGUAGUACCGAUAGCGGUGAGGCGGGUGUUAAUGGGUCUGGGUAUGAUGCGGUUCCAAAUAGGGGUUGCAGUGGCAGAUCUAGGAAUUUAACAUCAGGUGUUUAAAAAAAAGAUUUGCACCUUAAUGAAGAAGCCAAUUGGUUAACGGCAACAUACAAACACAAAAUAUGAAUUUCACAAUAGCAACAAUAUCUCAAAGAUAAGGAAAUUACAAAAUAGAGAAAAAAAAACUACAACNNNNNNNNNNNNNNNNNNNNNNNNNNNNNNNNNNNNNNNNNNNNNNNNNNNNNNNNNNNNNNNNNNNNNNNNNNNNNNNNNNNNNNNNNNNNNNNNNNNNNNNNNNNNNNNNNNNNNNNNNNNNNNNNNNNNNNNNNNNNNNNNNNNNNNNNNNNNNNNNNNNNNNNNNNNNNNNNNNNNNNNNNNNNNNNNNNNNNNNNNNNNNNNNNNNNNNNNNNNNNNNNNNNNNNNNNNNNNNNNNNNNNNNNNNNNNNNNNNNNNNNNNNNNNNNNNNNNNNNNNNNNNNNNNNNNNNNNNNNNNNNNNNNNNNNNNNNNNNNNNNNNNNNNNNNNNNNNNNNNNNNNNNNNNNNNNNNNNNNNNNNNNNNNNNNNNNNNNNNNNNNNNNNNNNNNNNNNNNNNNNNNNNNAUAAAUGUAACCAAGCAAUCAUUCAAGAGCUAAACCUCUUAUCUCUAUGCAUAUCAGUAAUGAAGUGUGUAAGUUAAGAGGUAUGCAUCAAAUCUUCCUCCAUGAAAACCAUAGGCUAAAGAUGUGCAAGCUUAACCGAGUGUCACCUACAACUUACAAUUCAAAGAUGAUUCAAAGAAUGCUCUAAGCCCUACAAUUCAAAGACAAUUCAUUUGUUAACUUUUUGCUAAUGAAAUCAAGCAGAUCCUCACUCCAUAGUGUCAUCUAGACCUAUUUCUCUCUGAAUCGAAUAGCAGCUACACAUUCAGUUGGGGAUUUCACAAUGAAUCGAAUUAACAAAUCAACUACUGUAAUUUCAAAAUUGGAUGGGGGUUCACCUUAGGUUUAGAGGUUGAGGUUAUUGCAGCCAAUUUUUUGCACUGGUACGCUUCAUUCCCCACAUCGAUGACUGCAGUGGCUGCGGCCGCGAAUUUUAUUCCCACCCUUUGUGCUACAGCAUCCCAUUUACGUCUCCCCCCCCCCCACCACCACCACCACCGCCGGCGGUGGGCACGACACCAUGGGGCUUGCCCGUAUCCUCUGCCGAAACCAUGGGGGGUUCCAGCUCCGAUGGCUUCCUCGCCCGGUCGUGGCUCACCAUUGACAGAGGGUCAUGCCGCCGCCUCGUCCGUGGGAAGAAGAAAUAGGCUGGCGGCAACAUGAGCCUCUCUCGUUUCGCGUGUGUAUGCAGGGCUGGAUGGUUUGGUGGCUUGCUUUCAGGCUAGUGAGCUACUCCUGAACUGAGCCUAUUAGGCCUAUAGGUUGGUGUUUCUAUCAUAUAAUAUGUAUAUAUCUACAUAAUUUAUUUUUUGCAAAAAGCAAUUGGGUGUACGUAUGUACACCCAUGCCCCAUGCUGGAUCCGCCCCUGAGGGGGAGGGGUCAUCAAUGCUGGAGAAGGGGCAUUUAGGGGGAUGGCCAAGGCAACAAAGCCAGCGGCGGGUGAUGGGGGACAAUGAUGGUCGGUGCCGAAGGGUGGGUUGACGGUGAUAAGAGGAAGACGAAUGCAACGGGGGAAGAGCGAGGAAGACAAAGGGGGUGUGGUGGAGGAACAAUAUGGAAACUGAACUUUCUCGAGGUAACUGACAAAUAGAUGCCUUUUUUUAUAGAACUAAGAAGACCACCACAAGAAAGUGUGACAUAUUACUUUUUGCGGGGAGUGUGACAUAUUAUUUACGUGUUUAGUUUUGGUUUACCCCCAUUUAGCAAUCAACGCUGUGAAUUAGGACUUCUUUGUUAAGAAGGGAAUGAUAGUCUUAUGACCACUAUGAAAACUAGUAAUGUAUGGCAUUGUGUGUUUGGGUCUAACUAUGUACGUACAUUCCAUAUACCCAUUCAAUCAUCUAUUUUAUACACCUUUUAUUUUUAUUUCUUUUUCGGGUGAAACUCAGGUUUUAUUUCUCAGAAAUAGUGUUACAUUCUGUUAAUACAAACUCCUUUAGAGCAACUCUAGCAGACCCCGCAUCCGCCCCCGACCCGCAAAAUAACCGCCAAAAUGCGGGUACGGGCCGGAAAGCCUGCCCAACCAGACCAUGCAUCCCGCCCUGGCACGCAAAAAAAUUUGGGGGGCGCGGCAAAUUCCUGACCCCAACACGGGAAAACGCGGGUUUCCCCCUCGCGGCUGCGGUGCCCUGCAUCACAGAGAAGCAGUUAGCGGAAGGUACAUUUCAGCCCGCGCUCUUUUCCCCCUCCUUCUGCCGCCGCCCGCCCUUGCUUCCGCCCGCCCGCCGCCGGCGAUUCCGGCCAUAUCUACGGGCGGAAUCGCUCCCCGGGGCCGCCCCACACCCUCCCGCGCCGAACCGCUGCACCGCACCUCCGGAUCCGUGAGAAGAGCCGUCCCCCGUCGUUGCCGCCGCCGGGGAUCGACCACCGUCGAGCGCACCCCCUCGUCGCCGCCCGGGAUCACCUGCCACCGGUUAGUCCCUUUUUUGUGAUUUUUGCGAGCUGUGUAGUAGAUUGACGUGCCGGUGUGCGUGUAGAUGGAGUUGACCCCGUGCAAGAAGUUCUUGCUAUCUGAUUCGUCCGACUCGGACGACUCGGAUGUUGAGACCAUGCUUGCGAACUUUCGGCAGCAAACAUUAGUCAUGGCGCUUGCCGUGAAGGAGCAUGAAGACGAGCACCGGAAGAGGAGGCGAGGAUCGACUGCCAGGCGUUUGUGCAUUCCUCGGAAUCGCCAUCGUGGGAACGAGAUGUUGAUGCAAGACUAUUUCACGGAGAAUCCUACAUAUCCUCCGCACCUCUUCCGGAGAAGGUACCGAAUGCGCCGAUCCCUCUUUGUGAAACUUGUUGAAGCUUGCGAGGCAAAUUGCCGGUAUUUUACUCAAAGAAGAAAUGCCACGGGCUUAAAGGGAUUUAGUGCAUAUCAAAAAAUCUCCGAAGCUAUGCGGGUGAUUGCAUAUGGCGUUCCGGCUGACUAUGUCGAUGAGUAUCUUCGCAUUGGUGAAGAUAUCACAAUUGAGUCUGUGCGUAGAUUUGCGAAAGUGAUCAUCCGUGUCUUCGGUCCUGAGUAUCUUUGGACACCCAAUAAAGAUGACACAAAGAAAUUAAUGGCGUCUAAUGAGAGAAGAGAUUGGCCUGGCAUGCUAAGUAGCAUUGAUUGUAUGCAUUAGAAUUGGAAAAAUUGCCCCAAGGCUUGGCAAGGAAUGUAUUGUUGCAAAUCUCGUGAUGCAACAAUUGUUUUGGAGGCCGUAGCAUCUGAGGAUUUAUGGAUUUGGCAUUGCUUUUUUGGUAUGCCGGGCACUCUCACUGAUAUCAAUGUGUUGCAACAGUCUCAUUUGUUUGCUAGGCUUGCUAGUGGUGAUGCUCCUGCUUGCAACUAUACUAUCAAUGGGCAUGAAUACACAAAGGGGUACUAUCUUGCAGAUGGUAUAUACCCUCAUUGGUGCACAUUUGUCAAGAGCAUCAAAGAACCCAAAAUAAAAAAAUAAUGUGAAUUUGCAAGGGUGCAAGAGGCAACCCGAAAAGACAUUGAAAAAGCAUUCGGUGUUUUGCAAUCUAGGUUUGCCAUUGUCCGUGGUCCUGCUCGUUUUUGGGAUAAGAAAACCUUGAAGAACAUCAUGACAUGCUGUGUUAUCCUGCACAAUAUGAUUCUUGAAGAUGAGAGAGGAUUGAACUUAGAAUUCUUUUACGACAAUGUGGGUAGCCGUGUCAAACCAGCUAGAGACCCAAACCGCAUUAGAGCUUUUCUUCAGACAUACAAGGAGAUUGAAAAUGCAGACACCCACUUUCAACUUCAGGAAGAUCUCAUUAAACACCAUUGGCAAAGGGCUGGACAGUGACUUGUUUUUGUAUUCAUUUGUAUUUGUAUUCAUGACAAAGUUUGUAUUGCACUAUUUAAAUUUGCUAUGGUUAUUUGAAUAAUUAUUUGUAAUGUGGAUGAUUAUUGUAAUAUGUUUGAUUCGAAUAAUUCAGUUUAUUUUUGAUUGUUGAAUUAUGGUGUAUUUGAUAUUUGCGGUCUGAUGAUAUGCGGGAUGCAGCGGCGCAAAGAGCAGACCCCGCAAAGCCAACCCGUAAAAAAGUAUAUUUCCCGAAUAUACUUUUUUACGGAUCCGUUUGGGGGUCUGCAUCUAUACCAGCCCGAGCCAGCCCGCAAAAACUGUUUUGCGCAAACUGCAAACGCGUUUUACGGGCAGGCGGGAUGCGGGGUCUGCUAGAGUUGCUCUUAUAUUGUCUGGGACAUGGCGCAACAAAACAGGCGGUGCUACCCCAGAUCGAUCAAUAUUAGCUAGACUAUGAGCAACUCUACUUUCACUACGCUCUAUCUAUAAUGGACCAAAACCGGAAGAGUCAAAAGCUUCUUGAUUUCCAGCGUUAAUUGACCAUAAGCUUUUUAUACACUUUUUAUUAACUACUCCUUAGUGCAUUAUUUAUUUAUCCCUUCUUAACAAAGAUGUUAAAAGCAUGUUUAAGAAUUAAGAAAAAGUAUAUUUUUAAAUAAAUAUUCAUCGUGUAUUUGAAAAAGGUCACCAUGUAUAUGAACAUAUUAAUCUUGUCUUGGAAAAAUGCUCCUCAUAUAUUAAAAAUAUGUUCGCCAUGUAUUUGAAAAAUGUUUUACCAUAUAUAUUAGAAUUCUCACUGUGUAUUUUCAGAAAAUAUCAUGUGUAUAAAAAGAGAACAAAAUAAAAAUGGGAAGAACAACAAAAAAAGGAAAAGAAAAACUGAAAAUUUGAAGAGAAGAACAAAUCCAAGCAUAAACCAAAAGAACCAAACAAAAACCAAAGAACUUGACCUAAAUCAGGAAAAACAGAAAAAUAAUAAAAGGAAACCAAACCGUAGAACAGCCUAGAAAACUGGAAAAGGGGCCAACCAAAAGAUGAGCGCCUCGGUGUUUGCCCACCUGUUUUACGAUAGCUGUGACCUGUGAGUCAGAUAACACGCAACAUACCUAGUAUGUCAGAGCGUGGAUCAAAAAAAAAACCUAUGUUAGAGUGUGAGGUACACCUAUAUUGUCUUUCUGGAGUACAAAUUAUGUCUGGAUUAAAAUUUCAUCGAAACCUAUCAAUUUAGAAUCUUUUUUCAAAUAUCAAUGAGAGGACACAACGGCGAAAAUACUUUGUACUUUAGGCAUCUGAUUGAUAAGAUAUAUCUGUUUUCACUUUAGAUCUCACAAAAAAACAUGCUACAAGGGCUUCCCAUCUUCUUGUGGGGAAAAAAUUCCACCAAAACUGUGGUGACAACAAAGUGGCGUUCGCUAUCAGAGAGGUCUGGUCAUAGCCAUUGCAAUCGGUGUCCCUUAACUAAUGGUUUCAGUUAAAAUAAUAUAUUUAUAUUUAUUAUUAAUUUAGUUGUAAAAGAUGUAAAAAAUAUGUGUUUGUUACAAAAAAAUGCACGUAUCAAGAAAUGAAUAUUCAUCAUUUUUAAAAAGUCGUAUUCACAUGUUUUGAAAAAGAAUUCAUGAAAUUUAAGAAGUUUGUAUUACGGAAAUAAAUUAUUUAACUUUUUUGGAGGGAUGGAAAUAAAUUAUUUAACUAUACGAGAAAUCUAACAACCAAACAAUCGAUCAUUUGCAAGAGAUCCGGAUCCAACUUAACCCCGCAUGUGGCCCAGCCCACCUACAGGAACCCUAGCAUGAACAAGAGACACACAAACCGAAAUCAUUAAUUAAGGAGUAUUCUUUGCGGAGAUCACUUCAACUUUUCCAGGUUACGACAAGUGGCGCUCUGCACGUGCACCACUUGUCACAACCUGGGUGUUUUCCCUUUUUUUGUAGAUCCGUUUAUUCAAAAUGUUUUAUCUUUUAAAUCGUGCGUCCAAAUUCCGAACCGCUUUCGCCGUUGGAUUCCUCGCGUCGAGAUCUCCAAAACUAGAUCCCAUGUUGAUAGGUUUUGACGAACUUUUUUUUCCAUGAAAAAUCGGACAUAAAACCAACGAAAAAAGCGAACCGGGAACACGGGUUUUUCCCUUUCCGAAAGAGGCACACCUGUGCCUCUGACGAAAUCACAACCGUGCCUCUCGCGGAAGCAAAACCGUGCCUCUCGCGAAAGAAAAAAACAGAAAACGCGUUUUUCCCUUUUCGAAAGAGCGACGCCCGUGCCUCUCGCGAAAGCACACCGUGCCUCUCGCUGGAAGCAAAACCGUGCCUCUCGCGAAAGAAAAAAAAAUGCAUUUUUUCCCUUUUCGAAAGAGGCACGCCCGUGCCUCUUUCGAAAGCACAACUGUGCCUCUCACGGAAGCAAAACCGUGCCUCUCGCGAAAGAAAGAAAAACAAGAAACGUGUUUUUUUCGUUUCCGAGGAGGCACGACCGUGACUCUCAUGAAAGCAUAACCGUGCCUCUCGCGGAAGUAAAACCGUGCCUCUCGCGGAAGUAAAAAUAAAUAGAAAACACGUUUUUUUCAUUUCCAAGAGGCACGGCCGUGCCUCUCGCGAAAACAGAACCAUUACUCUCACCAAAAAAUGCGUUUUUUUUGUGAAAAAAGUUAUUUUUUUUGGUCGAAAAGCUAAGGAAGACCGGUGAAAAAACAAAACGUCAAAAAAACCCGGAAAAAACUGUUUAAAAAGCCAAAAACGCGUGCGAAAAAAAAAAUAAAAAUCCACAGGGAGCGCCCACAGCGGGAUAGGUGGCGAAUAGCUGAGAGUGCGUCAAGUAUAUCUGACCAUGGGCCGGGCCGGGCCGGGCUUGGGUCGGGCCUAAAAAAACCCAUGGCAGAAAACAGAGGCCCAUGCCCUCCCAGGCCCUAUCAUCGGGCCUACUUUUCAAGCCCAAGCCCAGCCCAUUUGGUAGAAAGCCCUUAAAAGCCCUUAGGGCUUAGGGCCGUGGGCCGGGCCUCUUCCUUAAAAUGCCAACAUGCCAAGCCCAAGCCCAUCUAGGCCCUGCUGGUGGGCUCAAAACUCAGGCCCAAGCCCGACCCACGGGCAAGCCCAUCGGGCCUAGGUCCUGGAUUUUAGGGCCGGGCCUGGGUGGGCCGACAGGGCCGGGCCUGAGAUGGCCAGGACUAGCAUCAAGUGACGCUGAUCGUUGCGAGACUCCUGAAGGAGCGCUCGUUAAUUAGUUGCUCCCCACACAAACCAACUCAGCUUAUCGCUGGUUGUUUCUAAACAAAUGGGAAAUUGCUUUCAACCUUUUUCAAUUGCAUAUAAAAAGUUUUUUUUAUCUUCUUCUUGAAUUCUCUGCUCUGUAGUUGCUUAACGACAAAUUUAAUUGGUGAAUCACUGGACUUUCGCUACAGAUACGAACAACUCGCCUAGAGAUCGGUCACUUCCCCAUCCGCCCGCGUUCCCCUCCAAUUUUCUUUUCUGUCCACGCAAACCCACGUUUCUAAUCGCUGAACCGGAUUUUCCGCACCCUGGCGAGAGUGACGGUCCGAUUCGCUUGGCAAGAGUCACCGCUCAGUUCACUUGAUGGCUUACACGAUACGACCUCAUUCCAUCUGAAGUCCGCACACUGACCAUUUCGAAUUUGUUUUGUUGUUGCAUGGUUGAAAAAAACCUAGAUAAUAUAUCACAUGUCUCAUGCUAGUAUAGAAAGCUUUUCAUCUGCUCUAAUGAUAGAACCAGAUGAGCCAACAUUGUGCUCGUGUUCUACGCUUUCGCGGUGCUGGCCCUGGGCGCUGGCGCAGGCCGUGCCCGCCCCCAAGCGCUGGUGGUGUCCACGGGCUGCCAGGGCAUGCCAUCAGCGGGCGCUAGGCGCGGCCACGACGGCGAGGACGGCGGCGGCCAGAGGCGGUCCUGGAAGGACACCCUGCUGGGGCGGGGUCGCGGCAAGGAGCACACUGCGGAAGCCGUUGACCUGCCCCCAGAGCGCCAUCGCAGUCGCACGCCCAGCUCUCGUCACCGUCAAGGGGCGCCCCGGGGGCGCCGCAGCAGCUCUGAUCACCACGACAAGCACCAUGGCAGCGGCAAUGGCGACGGCAACGUCCACGCAUCGCAGCGCGGGAAGGGUGCGUGCGACUCCAAGAGCUUUGAGCGCGGCCAGUCUUCGAGGACCGUUCCACCCCCAGCAAACCCGCUCCUUGCUCCGCCGUGCCCGCUGCCUGCCCCCGCGGCGGCCGCGAAAGCGGACCCGGUGGCCGAGUUCUUCGAGGAAGCUGGCAAAGAGCUCCCGCCCCCGCCCCGGCCGGACCCCAGGGCCGCUGCUGUGGACGAGCCGGCGGCAAAGAAAGUGGACAAGCCUCUCUCCUUCUCCGAGCGCGAGGAGGGCACCGAGGACGACACGGACGGCAUUGACAUGGGCCUUGCCCUCUCCCUCGUCAGGCACACCCCGGUGAUGGCGGACACGCACUCCCUGCAGCUCGGCGUCGUGACUAGCAAAGUCUGCCACUUGCAGAUCGGCGAGGAGGGCCUCGAGGACACGACCAAGCAGCUGUUCUCCAAAACCCCGGCCCCCGUGCUUGGCCAGGCACCUCCCCGCUCCAAGACCCCACUCCGCCCAAGGCCCGCGGCCACCCGCCACAGCGCACGUCAAGCCAACAACCCUUCCACGGUUCCCGUCAGUUAGCACGCCACGCUCCGCAUCGUUCAUGGCCUCGGCAUCCUCGGUUCAAAGGACUGCGAAGGCAGACGAAGCCCUCAUCAAAUGUUUCAACGAACCACUGUCCGACACCGACAUCCACGCCAUCGCUAGGCUCACCAACCUCGACCCGGCCGCGCUGCGGGUGGCAGCCGGCAUGUAGGGCCCUGACGGAGAGGCCCCGGAGGCCAUGCUUUCCCCAUGUUAGUGCGCUCCCAUUAUAGUUUGCUCCGGCGACCCCCAAUGUUUGGCUGGGUUGAGCUAGGUCUAGUUCUUUGUAGUCCUUGUAGUAGGUGUAGAGGCGCUGCCAUCUGCCGGCGGAUAUUGGGGCCUAUUGGUGGCCGCCGGCAACCCCCGGACCGUGAGGAGGUGUACCCGUAUUUUCUUAAUGAAAUUCGUAGUCGCUGGAGCAGCUUCAUAGUGUUUAAUGAUUGACACAAAUUGCCCCAUCAUGAGCUGGAACAUCUGAGGUUUAAACACGCCGGCGCGACACGCAGUAGUUUGUGAAACGACAGAAGCUCAUAGGCUAGCUAUCCUCUGCCUCCAGGAGACUAAAAUCGAAGCUUGGAGUCGCUCCCUGGUCAAGGACGUCGGCAGAGCAAGGCUAACUGACUGCGUCGUGCUCCCCGCCUCCGGCACUAGGGCGGUGCUGCAAUCUUUUGGGAUAACUCUGUAGUAGAUGUGCAAUCGCAUGCUAUCGGCCUCUUCUCAAUCACUGCCCGCGUCACCCUGAGGAAAACUUCAAUAAUGUUUUGGCUGACCACGGUGUACGGCCCCAUUGAUGAUAGUAGAAAGGACGAGUUCUUGUCAGGAAUAGCUAGGACGGUGCCGCCACCAAAUGACCCCUGGCUCAUCAACGACGAUUUCAACCUCAUAUACAAGGCUAGUGAUAAUAACAAUAGCAAUGUCAACCGUAGAAUGUUGGGCAAAUUCCGUGCGGCGAUCGACGCCGCAGGACUCCGGGAGAUUAGAUGCAAAAACCGACGUUUCACGUGGAGCAACGAGCACGAGGAUCCAACCCUUGUCAGCAUCGACAAGUUCUUUUGCAGCAAUGCUUGGGACACCCUCUUCCCAACCUUCCUCCUGCAUGCCGCUUCAACAUCCUGCUUCGAUCACUGCCCCCUUCUGCUCACUGCAGCAACCGCACCACGCCGAUCGGCUCAUUUCCGGUUUGAAUCCUUCUGGCCACGAUUCCCCUGAUUCCAUGAAACGGUGCAACAUGCAUGGGAUCACCCCGUUGCCUCUAGCUGUGCAUUCAAAUGCAUCCACGUCAAACUAGAUAGGGCAGCAAAGGACCUCAAAAUCUCGGCAAAGGGUUUCUUCAGCAACACUCGUCUACAGCUGCAGAUCGCAAAUGAAGUAGUCCUCCGCCUCGAUAUCGCCCAAGAACAUAGACAGCUAUCUAGCAGCGAGCUUGCUCUCCGGAAGAAGAUCUAGUUCCGUGUCCUUGGCCUGGCCGCGAUCGAGAGGGCCAGGAAGCGCCAGGCCUCACGCAUCACAUGGCUAAGGGCUAGAGAAGCCCGAUCGGCCUUUUUCCAGGCCAAAAUCAAUUCGAGGAGGCAGAAAAACUCCAUCCACACCAUCCACACAUCAGGCUCCAUCAUCACGUCGCACAACGACAAGGCCAGUGCUAUAUACGACUGCUUCAACUCCUCCCUUGGGGCGGCGCCAGUCAGAGACACCACCAUUGCCUCGAGCUCACUCAAUCUUCCAUCGCUGCCGGCUGCCGGUCUAGAUAAUCCGCUUUCGAAGGAGGAGGUUUGGCAGGCGAUUUGUGCUUCUCCGUAGGAAAAAGCGCCUGGGCCGGAUGGCUACAACGGAACCUUCUUCCGAGCAUGCUGGUCGAUCAUCAAGCUCGAUGCAUGGCAGUUUUCCACUAGUUCUAUCACCUAGCAGGAGGAGACGUGGCCGCCAUCAACCAGAAAAUGAUCGUUCUCCUCCCCGAGAAGGACGGAGCGGCCGCGAUCACGGACUAUCGCCCGAUUAGCCUGAUCCAUUCAAUGGCGAAGCUAAUCUCCAAGGUCCUUUCCAUGAAGCUGGCGAAGGUGAUCCACACUAUCAUUUCUCCGGCGCAAACGACAUUCCUCAAAACCAAAUGCAUCCACGAUAGCUACCUCUACGUGCAAAACACCGUUCGCCACCUCCACCGUCGCAAAACACCGACACUCCUCAUGAAGCUCGACAUCGAUAAGGCGUUCGACACGGUCUCAUGGGACUACUUGCUAGAGCUGCUGCAGCAGCUAGGGUUUAGCGCGCGCUGGCGAGAUUGGGUGGCCCUGCUCCUCUCCUCGGCGUCCUCGGUGGUCUCUUUGAAUGGGGUGCCGGGCCGCCACUUCACCCACCGCCGCGGUCUUCGCCAGGGUGAUCCGCUCUCGCCAUUUCUCUUCAUUCUUGCCAUAGACCGACUGCACCACCUGCUGGCAAAGGCGUUCGAGCAACAACUGCUACAUUAAAUACCAGGCCGCAAGUUGAAGCUCAGGGUUAGUCUCUAUGCCGAUGAUGCAGUUGUCUUCAUCAACCCAAUCCGUCAGGAGGUCGACCCUCUACUGGGCAUCCUACGCCAAUUCGGACACGCUACAGGGCUAUGCAUAAACACCGAAAAAUCCACGGCCUCGCCGAUCAGCUGUAGCGACAUAGACCUCGCAGAUGUGCUGCGCAAUUUUGGAGGCUCAAUCGCCCCUUUCUCAAUCAAAUACCUGGGCCUGCCACUCAUCACCGGCCCGCUUCUACUCGUGCAUCUGCAGUUCAUCAUCGAUAGAAUCAAGGCCUGACUGGCGGGCUGGAAGAGGAACCUAAUCCACAUCGCGAGACGGCGUGUGCUGGUCCACUGCGUCCUCAGCGCCAUGCCUACCUUUGCACUCACCGUGCUGAGGGUGCCAAAAAAGAUCCUCAAAGAAAUAGACAAGUGUCGCCACCGUUUCCUUUGGAAGCAAGACGAGGAAAUCUCCGGCGCAAGCUGCAAAGUUAGCUGGGCAGUGAUUUGCACCCCAACGGAAAAUGGAGGCCUGGGAAUCCCUGACCUUGAUAUGUCUCCAACGUAUCUACUUUUCCAAACACUUUUGCCCUUGUUUUGGACUCUAACUUGCAUGAUUUGAAUGAAACUAACCCGGACUGACGCUGUUUUCAGCAGAACUACCAUGAUGUUGUUUUAUGUGUAGAAAAGAAAAGUUCUCAGAAUGUCCUGGAAAUCCACGGAGGCACUUUUCAGAAUUAAUAAGAAUUUUUGGUGAAAGAAUCAAGGCCAGGGGCGCCACGGGCUGUCUACGAGACAGGCCCCCCUAGGGCGCACCCUCCUAUCUCAUGGGCCCCCUGGACCUCCUCCGACCUGAACUCCAACUCCAUAUAUACCGUCUCGGGGAGAAAAAAUCAGAGAAAAAGUUUUAUCGUGUUUCAUGACACGAAGCCGCCGCCAAGCCCUAAUCUCUCUCGGGAGGGCUGAUCGGGAGUCCGUUCGGGGCUCCGGAGAGGGGGAUUCGUCGCCGUCGUCAUCAUCAACCAUCCUCCAUCACCAAUUUCAUGAUGCUCAUCGCCGUGCGUGAGUAAUUCCAUCGUAGGCUUGCUGGACGGUGAUGGGUUGGAUGAGAUUUACCAUGUAAUCAAGUUAGUUUUGUUAGGGUUUGAUCCCUAGUAUCCACUAUGUUCUGAGAUUGAUGUUGCUAUGACUUUGCUAUGCUUAAUGCUUGUCACUAGGGCCCGAGUGCCAUGAUUUCAGAUCUGAACCUAUUAUGUUUUCAUGAAUAUAUGUGUGUUCUUGAUCCUAUCUUGCAAGUCUGUAGUCACCUAUUAUGUGUUAUGAUCCGAUAACCCCGAAGUGACAAUAAUCGGGAUACUUCUCGGUGAUGACCGUAGUUUGAGGAGUUCAUGUAUUCACUAUGUGUUAAUGCUUUGGUCCGGUUCUCUAUUAAAAGGAGGCCUUAAUAUCCCUUAGUUUACGUAAGGACCCCGCUGAACACGGGAGGGUAGGACAAAAGAUGUCAUGUAAGUUCUUUUCCAUAAGCACGUAUGACUAUUUACGGAAUACAUGCCUACAUUACAUCGAUGAACUAGAGCUAGUUCUCUAUCACCCUAUGUUAUAACUAUUGCAUGAGGAAUCGCAUCUGGCGUAAUUAUCCAUCACUGAUCCAUUGCCUACGAGCUUUUCACAUAUUGUUCUUCGCUUAUUUACUUUUCCGUUGUUACUGUUACAACUACUACAAAAACCCAAAACAUUUACCUUUACUGUUGCUACUGUUACCAUUACUAUCAUACCACUCUUGCUACUAAACACUUUGUUGCAGAUACUAAGUUAUCCAGGUGUGGUUGAAUUGACAACUCAACUGCUAAUACUAAAGAAUAUUCUUUGGCUCCCCUUGUGUCGAAUCAAUAAAUUUGGGUUGUACUUCACCCUCGAAAGCUGUUGCAAUCCCCUACACUUGUGGGUUAUCAAGACUAAUUUCUAGUGCUGUUGCCGGGGAGCAUAGCUCUAUUCUCUGAGUCACUUGGGAUUUAUAUCUGUUGAUCACUAUGAAGAACUUGAAAGACGAUCGAACUACUAUUUUGCCCUCAACUACGAGGGGAGGUAAGGAACUGCCAUCUAGCCUUGCACUAGAUUCUCCUUCCGUUAUUAGUAAGCUUGCGACACCUAAACCUACUACUGGUAUGAAUUCUGAUAUGUUGCAUGUUAUUGAUGAUGCCACUUCUGCUAUGCAUGAUGAAACUACUUCUGUGCGUGAUACUACUUUGCCAUUAGGUGAAUUUCUUGAUGAACAACUUGCUAGAGUUAGGGGGAAUGAAAAUAUUGAAGAACCUAUUAUUGAUGAUAGUGAUGAUGAAGGUCCCUCCAAUGAAAAUAUUGAAUCUGACAAUAUUGAUGAAAGUGAUGAUGAAAACUCUUCCCCUAAUAAAUAUGAAUUGCCUGUUAUUCCUGUGGGUUAUGUUUUUUAAAAGGAAGCUGCUUUAGCUAUUUUAGCUUGCAAAGAUAGAUACGAGCUCAAGAUGUUAUUAGCUAAAUGGAAGCAGCAAUCUCUUAAUGCUAGAAUGAAAUCUGACCCUGCUUUUGCUACUUCACCUAUCUGUGUUACUGAUAAGGAAUAUGAAUUCUCUGUUGAUCCUGAUAUUAUUACUUUAGUUGAAUCUGAUCCUUUUUAUGUCCUUGAAUCUGAAACUGUUGUGGCACAUCUUACCAAGUUGAAUGAUAUAGCCACCCUAUUUACUCAUGAUGAGAAGUCUCGCUAUUUAUAUAUCCUUAAGAUAUUUCCGUUCUCAUUAAAGGGUGAUGCUAAGACUUGGUAUAAUUCUCUUGCUCCUGGUUGUGUGCGUAGUCCCCAGGAUAUGAUUUAUUACUUCUCUGCUAAAUAUUUCCUUGCUCAUAAGAAACAAGCUGCCUUGCGGGAAAUAUAUAAUUUUGUGCAAAUCAAAGAAGAGAGUCUACCACAAGCUUGGGGGAGGCUUCUCCGGUUACUUAAUGCUUUGCCUGAUCAUCCUCUUAAGAAAAAUGAAAUACUUGAUAUCUUUUAUAGUGGACUAACCGAUGCUUCCAAGGACUACUUGGAUAGUUGUGCUGGUUGUAUUUUCAGGGAAAGAACAGUCGACGAAGCUGAAAUACUAUUGAAUAAUAUGUUGACUAAUGAAAAUAAUUGGACUCUUCCCGAGCCAGUUCCUGAAGUAAUUCCUGAACCAAUUGAGCCAACUCCUGAGCCUAUUCCUAAACCCACUCCGAAGAAGAGAGGUGUUUUAUUUCUCAGUCCUGAAGAUAUGCAAGAGGCAAAGAAAUCAAUGAAAUAAAAAGGUAUUAAAGAUGAAGAUGUUAAGAAAUUACCACCUAUUUAAGAAAUACAUGGUCUUAAUUUACCGCCUGAAGAACCACAUUGUCUUGAUAACCCGACACAGGUAGUAAAGGUAAAUUCUCUCUAUAGAUAUGAUAAAGUGGGAAUGCCCUCUACUAAAUUUCAUAGCCCAUGCUUAGAUGAAUUUGAUGACUUUAUGGCUAGACAAGAAAUUUUUAAUGCUUAUGUUGGUAGAGAGUUAAAGAAUAAUGCUUUCGAGAUAGGAUGCGUAGGUGAUAAUCUGGCUAGAGUUAAAGAUGAACUUCACCGUGUUAGCAAAUAUGCUUCUAUGGUGGCUACUCAAGCUGAGCAAGUACUCAAAGCUCAAAAUGAUCUGCUUGAUGAAUUAAAUAAUAAAAAUGACUUUGCUGUUAGAGUGGCUACUAGAACUGGUAGAAAGACUCAGGAACCUUUGUAUCCUGAAGGCCACCCUAAGAUAAUCGAGCAAGAUUCUCAGAGAAAUAAUUUAGAGGCACCUAGUUCUUCUAAGAAGAAGAAAAAGAAAGACGAUAGAACUUUGCAUGCUUCUAGUGAACCUACUGUAGACACACCUGAGAAUCCCAAUUAUAUUUCUAUUUCUGAUGCUGAAACACAAUCAGGUGAUGAACAUGAACCUAGUGAUAAUGUUAAUGAUAAUGUUCAUGUUGAUGCUCAACCUAGCAAAAACAAUGAUGUAGAGAUUGAACCUGCUGUUUAUUUUGAUAACCCACCAUCAAAGAAUCAACGUUAUGACAAGAUAGAUUUUGUUGCUAGGAAGCACGGUAAAUAAAGAGAACCAUGGGUUCAGAAACCCAUGCCCUUUCCUCCCAAAUCAUCCAAGUCAAAGGAUGAUGAGGAUUCUGAGCGCUUUGCUGAAAUGAUUAGACCUAUUUUCUUACGUAUGUGCUUAACUGAUAUGCUUAAAGUAAAUCCUUAUGCUAAAUAUAUGAAGGAUAUCAUCACAAAUAAAAGAAAGAUAUCGGAAGCUGAAAUUUUCACCAUGCUUGCUAAUUACACUUUUAAGGGUGGAAUACCAAAGAAACUUGGAGAUCCGGGUGUACCAACUAUACCAUGCUCUAUUAAAAUAAAUUAUGUUAGAACUGCUUUAUGUGAUCUUGGAGCCGGUGUUAGUGUUAUGCCUCUCUCUUUAUAUCGUAGACUUGAACUGAAUAAGUUGACACCUACUGAAAUAUCUUUGCAAAUGGCUGAUAAAUCAACUGCUAUACCUAUCGUUAUUUGUGAGGAUGUGCCUAUUGUGGUUGCAAAUGUCACUAUCUUAACGGACUUUGUUAUUCUUGAUAUUCCCGAGGACGAUAGUAUGUCUAUUAUCCUUGGUAGACCUUUUCUUAAUACUGCAGGGGCUGUUAUUGAUUGCAACAAAGGCAAUGUCACUUUUUAUGUUAAUGGUAAUGAGCAUACGGUACACUUUCCGAGGAAACAAUCUCAAGUUCAUAGCAUCAAUUCAAUUGAAAAAGUUCCAACUAUCAUUUUUGGAGGUUUUGAAUUUCCUCUCCCUACUGUCAAGAAAAAGUAUGAUAUUCUUAUUGUUGGGUAUUUUCAUAUCCCCGUUGAGGUAACUUGGUGUUAUUCGAAAUUUCUCCAGUUUCGUGUUAUUCGGAAUGAGUUUGUUAACAAGACUUGAUCAACCUUGUUAGUGGAUUCAUUUUGAUGAUCACGAGAUGGAUGAAACUAGAAGGCACAACCUUCUAUACCCUCUUUUUACUUUCUGUUAUUUAGAAUAAAUAAAGCAAAAAUAGUAUUAUCUGUCUAUUUUCUGAAUUAUUCGUGCAUUAAAAAACAGUCCAAAAAUAAAAGUGCUCCAAAUGCCCUGCAGAUUUAUUAUGAUUUUUUCUGGAAUAUUUGAGGAUUUUAGGCACUGAAAACACUGCAGGAGGGCCAAGCACCAGGCCACGAGAGAGGAGGGCGCCCCUCCCCCUGUAGGGCGCGCCCCCUAUCUCGUGGGCCCCUGGUGGCUCCCCUCCACUUAUGCCAGCACCCACACACUUCAUCUUCUACCCAAAAAAAUCCCCAUCCAGCUCAAGCCCAAGUUCUAACUCGUUUUGCUGCAAUUUUCGAUCUCUUAGCUCAAAGCUCCAUUCGCAAAACUGCUUUGGGAGAUUGUUGCUUGGUAUGUGACUCCUCCAUUGGUCCAAUUAGUUUUUGUUCUAGUGCUUUAUUCAUUGCAAAUUUUUGCUGCAUAGGUGACCAUGUUCUUGAGUGUCACGCCCAAUAUGCGACCCUAUCCAAAAGGAACUCGAAGGUCCCACCAAGGAUAGACCCGCAUAUUGAAACACUUUUGCAAGGUGGAUAUCAUUACAUCAACAUUACAUAAUAGAUGGGGAUACAAACAAGAGGCAUACAAUGCCACACGAAUACAACAUCACAAAACAUAAGAGCAUCAUCCGACUACGGAUGCAACACAAAUAGAAACUCAAACGACAUCCACCCUGCUAGCCCAGGCUGCCGACCUGGAACCUAUCCCCUGAUCGAAGAAGCAGAAGAAGAACUCAACGCAAGCAAGCAUCGCUCUCGCGUCAUGAUCAUCGCAUAACCUGUACCUGCAACUGUUGGUGUAGUAAUCUGUGAGCCACAAGGACUCAGCAAUCCCAUUAUCAUGGGUAUCAAGACUAGCAAAGCUUAAUGGGUAAGGAAGGGGUAAAGUGGUGAGGUUGCAGCAGCGACUAAGCAUAUAUGGUGGCUAACAUACGCAAAUAAGAGCGAGAAGAGAGCAAACGGAACGGUCGUGAAGCUAGCAAUGAUCAAGAAGUGAUCCUGAACUCCUACUUACGUCAAACAUAACCCAGAAACCGUGUUCACUUCCCGGACUCCGCCAAAAAGAGACCAUCACGACUACACACACGGUUGAUGCAUUUUAAUUCGGAUCUGGUGUCAAGUUAUCUAUAACCGGACAUUAACAAAUUCCCAUCUGCCUAUAACCGCAGGCACGGCUUUCAAAAGAUUAUACCCUGCAGGGGUGUCCCAACUUAGCCCAUGAUAAGCUCUCGCGAUCAACGAAGGAUAUUCCUUCUCCCAGGAAGACCCGAUCAGACUCAGAAUCCCGGUUUACAAGACAUUUCGACAAUGGUAAAACAAGACCAGCAAAGCCUCCCGCUGUGCUAACAAAUCCCGAUAGGAGCUGCACAUAUCUCGUUCUCAGGGCACACCAGAUGAGCAAGACGACGGGUUGGCAUAGACCCUGGUUGCCCAGGGGGCGCCGGACAUCGCUCGGUUUGGACCAACAGUUAGAAAAGCAUUGGCCCGGGGGGGCUAAAAUAAAGAUGACCCUCGAGAGCGCGACUCCCAAGGGAAAAAAGGCUAGGUGAGGCAAAUGGUAAAACCAAGGUUGGGCCUUGCUGGAGGAGUUUUAUUCAAAGCGAACUGUCAAGGGGGUCCCAUAAAUCACCCGACCGCGUAAGGAACGCAAUAUCCGGGAACAUAACACCAGUAUGACGGAAACUAGGGCGGCAAGAGUGGAACAAAACACCAGGCAUAAGGCCGAGUCUUCCACCCUUCACCAAGUAUAUAGAUGCAUUAAAAUAUAAGAGAUAUUGUGAUAUCCCAACCAAAAUCCUGUCCACCAUGGAGCAAUCUUCAACUUCACCUGCAACUAGCAACGCUAUAAGAGGGGCUGAGCAAAGCGGUAACAUAGCCAAGCAAUGGUUUGCAAGGAAGGGUGUCAAAGGUUAGAGGUUCAUGGCAAUUUGGGGAGGCUUGAAGAACAGGUGAUAGGAAGCGCAGCAUAGCGAUAGAACGAAGCAACUAGCAUAGCAAUGAUAGUAAUGAGAUCCAGGGUAGCGGUCAUCUUGCCUGAAAUCCCGCUGGGAAGAAGAACGAGUCCAUGAAGAAGACGAACGGAUGAAGCCGAACCAAGCGUAGACGAACGAAUCCUCACGAUCGCAACGAAACAGGAACUAUCGAGAAGAAACACACAACAUAGUAAACACACCAUACAUGAACAAGGCAUGAUGCACAACAAGCAUGAUGCAUGACAAGGCUAUAUGAAGCUACUCAUGGCCAGAGAUGAUGCAAACAAGAACAACACAUCAAGGCAAGUUUAAAUGAGGCCGGGAACAACAUAUAACAAUUCCGAUAAGUCCUCAUAUGCAUAUUUCGAAAUUGGUCCAGAUCUGGAUAAACUUUAUGUUCAAGUUGUUAAACAGCAAGUUAAGAUGCACCAAGAUGAUCUACACGAGAUUCUAGUCAAGUUACAUAUAAAGUUCAUUUAGUUCGGAGCUACGGCCUAAAAGAUAUGAGCAAAACAAGUUAAACAUGGCAUUGAUGCAAAAUGUAUUCAAACAUCAAGCAAACACCUCAAAACAUGGAUGCAACAUGAUAAUAUGAAACUACAUGCAAUUCUAAGCAAGUUUCAUAUAGAGCACACUCAAAACGGAGCAACGGUUCAACACACACACUCUAUACAAGUUAUAGCAACAAACUGUCCAAAACAGCAACUAGGCAUCUUGCAAGCAUCAAAACAACAUGCUACAGCAUCUCAACAUGAAAACAAAAGGCAUGGGCAUGAUUUACAGGUAAAGCAUAACAAAACAUGAACACUGAGCUAUCUCCAGAAACCACUAGAACAUACUCAAACACACAUGGCAAGAUUGCAAAUAAUAACAGUUCAGACUUUGCAGAAAAUACCACUCUUGCUACUAAAACACACAUAUUGUUCUUCGCUUAUUUACUUUUCUGUUGUUACUGUUACAACUACUACAAAAACCCAAAAACAUUUACCUUUACUGUUGCCACUGUUACCAUUACUAUCAUACCACUCUUGCUACUAAACACUUUGCUGCAGAUACUAAGUUAUCCAGGUGUGGUUGAAUUGACAACUCAAUUGCUAAUACUCAAGAAUAUUCUUUGGCUCCCCUUGUGUCGAAUCAAUAAAUUUGGGUUGUACUUCACCCUUGAAAGUUGUUGCGAUCCCCUACACUUGUGGGUUAUCAGACCUAUCGCGCUUUGGUCGUGCCCAUGGGUGGGCUCGGUUCUGCCUUGCAACGACGUCGACCUCUCCCUCUUCACGGCAGCAACCUCGGUUAGCAUCAGGGACGGCGCGUCGGCGUCCUUCUGGCACUCCCAUUGGAUGGGGCCCGGCACGCUCGCCCAAUAAUUCCCGCGGCUGGCCCUGCAUGCCCGGAGAAAGAACAGGAUGGUGAAGGAGGCCCUCGCGGACGACACCUGGAUCAAAGAUCUAGCCCAUGGCUGUACAGAACAUCUAAUCAACAACGUCCUAUUCCUGCAUAGACGGCUUCAUGGAGCUGCCGGCGAACUGCGUGCGGGCAACCCCAACUCCAUCAGAUGGAUACUCGAGCGGACGGGCGAAUACUCAGCUAGCUCAGCUUAUCAGUUGCAAAUUCCAGGGCUUCACGUCCUGGUUUUCGGCAAGAUCAUAUGGAAUGCUUGGGCCCCCGGGAAGAUCAAGAUGUUUGCACGGCUCAUACUGCAAAACAGGCUGUGGUGCAAUGGCAGACUUCAACGCCGAGGCUGGAAGAACGAGUACUUCUGCCAGUUGUGCACUUGAAACCUUGAAUCCUCCAAGCAUUUGUUUUGGGAGUUCCCAAUGGCAAAGAAUGUCUCGGAGACGAUUAGCUCAUGGACGGGUUGCGCCCCACUAGCUCCAGAUGCGAGAUGGCAAGAUCUCCAGCACUCCUCCAUUGCGCUAGCCGCCCUGGACAGGUCCGCACCAAGAUGGCGAAAAGGCACCAACAUGCUUCUACUGCUUGUUUGUUGGGAAAUAUGGCAGGAACGGAACAACGCCACCUUCAGGAAAAGCACCCAAGGGUCUCCAACAUCAUCAAAAGGGUUACGGACUGCAUCGAGCUAUGGCGAGCCACGGGCACUAGUAGAAAAAGGGUCAAAUCUGAGACACAUUAGUGCCGGUUUGAUUUUGAGCCGGCACUAAUGUGUCCAUUAGUGUCGGUUCUAACGGCUAGCCGGCCGCUCUCAUUAGUACCGGUUCAUGGCGAACCUUUAGCACCGGUUCAUGCCACGAACCGGUACUAAAGAGAGUGGUGGCAGGAUGUUGUCAGUCUGGGGCCCCUCCAACACCUUUAGUACCGGUUCGUGGCACGAACCGGUACUAAAGGCCGACGUACAUAAACCCUUCGUCCACCCGAGCUCGCUCUGUUCUUCCCCUUUCGCCUCACUUCCUCUGUUCUUCCCCUCUCUUCCUCGAGCUCAUCACAAAUUUUGCCCAAAAUUUGUCAAGAUUUGAAGGCCCCCAUCCAUUCAAAUGAUCACAAAGGUUAGCAACUUUGUCCUUUCAUCUCUCAUUGCUAGAUUAGCUCUUGCAAUGCUUUGUAUAGUGAUUAAUUUGGGAGGAAUUAUAUGUGCUAGUAUUUGAUUUAUAUGCAAUUUGAGGUCAAAAAUAACACUUAGUUUGCAUAUGUAGGUGUGGUUUACUUAGUGCCUUCUAAAUCUUCGUCGUAGCCACCGUUGAUCACCGCACCGUCCCGUCGCCGGCACCACCUUGUGGUGAGGCUCUUGUUCAUGAAUGUUUUACAUUACCAAAUUGAUGUUUGUGUCAUUUGGAUAUAUAGUUACUCGUAUAAUUAUCUUACUCGUACGUUGUUUGUUAUACCCAGUGCCAUGGUUUUGAUAUCCGUCCCCGUCGACCCUCGUCCUUGUUAUGAUUCGGAUGUGGUAUAUUCUCUUUUAAAACUAGUUGUUGCAUUUCGUGUUUAUGACAAAUUAUGCCCAUCAAGUUGGCAUAGAUAUUUUUAUCUAGGAGGUAUGUGAACCGGAAAUUCCAACCGACCCUAUUGUCGAGAGGUUAAAUUUAGUUGAAAGAGAAAAUGAGUAUUUGAAAGAAAAAUUGAAAAGAAUUGAGGGGGAGAAGAUGGAAUUGGAGUUGCAUGUUGCCGAUGUCGUCGAUGAUCACAAGAUCAAGAUGGAGAAAAUGCGGUUGAAGAUUAGAAAGAUUAGAAAAUAUGCCAUUGAUAGUGUGGGUUGUUAUCAUUAUGCUGUUGGAUCAAUUGUUACCUUAAUUGUGAUCUUGAUCGCAUUUGUUGUUGCAUUUAAAUUCUUUAGCUAGAGAGUUAUUUGUAUGUUGCAUUUAAUUAAGUGUUGUAUAUGAACUUUAUGUAUGAACUUGUAUUAAUUUGGUCUAUUCGGUGUUGUGUAAUGAAGAUGAGCCGACAAUGGAUGUAUGAUGACCGAUGCUCUCCUGAGUUCAUUAAUGGCGUGCAUACUUUUUUGCUUGCCGUUGAGGCAAACAAGCAGGCGGAUGGUUUUAUGCCUUGUCCAUGUGUUGGCUGUAAGAAUGGUCACAAUUACUCUACGUCAAGAACCAUUUACGUCCACCUAUUUGAGUCCAGUUUCAUGCCCCACUAUAAUGUUUGGACCAAGCACGGAGAAAGAGGGGUUAUGAUGGAAGACAAUUAAGAAGAAGAGGACGACGACGGCUAUCCUGGCCAUGGGUUCUCUGAAUACGAUGAUACAACAAUGGGGGAAGAAGCUGAGCCGGCAAUGCGGGAAGAAGCUGAAGAAGAGGCAUCAGAUGAGCCCGCUGAUGAUCUAGGUCGGGCCAUUGCCGAUGCAAAGAGAAACUGCGCAAGUGAUUUGGAGAAGAAGAAGUUGCAGCGCAUGUUAGAGGAUCACAAGAAAUUGUUGUACCCGAAUUGCGAAGCUAAAAAAAAGUUGGGCACCACACUGAAAUUGCUGCAAUGGAAGGCAGAGAAUGGUGUAUCUGACAAGGGAUUUGGAAAGUUGCUGGUAAUGAUAAAGAAUAUGCUUCCAAAGGACAACGAAUUGCCCGAGAGUACGUAUGAAGCAAAGAAGGCUGUCUACCCUCUAGAGUUAGAGGUGCAAAAGAUACAUGCAUGCCCUAAUGACUGCAUCCUCUACCGCGGUGAGUAUGAGGAUUUGAACGCUUGCCCGGUAUGCAGUGCAUUGCGUUAUAAUAUUAGUCGUGAUGAUCCUGGUGAUGUCGAGGGCGAGCGCCCCAGGAAGAAGAUUCCUGCCAAGGUGAUGUGGUAUGCUCCUAUAAUACCACGGUUGAAAUGUUUGUUCCAAAACAAAGAGCAUGCAAAGGCGAUGCGGUGGCACGGAGAAGACCGUAAGAAAUACGGAAAGUUGAGAGUACCCGGUGACGGUUCGCAAUGGAGAAAAAUCGAGAGAAAGUAUUGGGAGGAGUUUGUAGGUGACCCAAGGAACGUAUGGUUUGGUCUAAGCACAUAUGGCAUUAAUCCUUUUGGGGAACAGAGCAGCAACCAUAGCACCUGGCUUGUUACUCUAUGUUUGUAUAACCUUCCUCCUUGGUUGUGCAUGAAGCGGAAGUUCAUUAUGAUGCCAGUGCUCAUCCAAGGCCCUAAGCAACCCGGCAACGACAUUGAUGUGUACCUAAGGCCAUUAGUUGAAGAACUAUUACAACUGCGGAAUGGAACAGGUGUACGUGCGUGGGAUGAGCACGGAUAGGAAGAAUUUGACCUAAAGGCUUUGCUGUUCGUGACCAUCAAUGAUUGGCCUGCUCUCAGUAACCUUUCAGGAUAGACAAACAAGGUAUACCGCGGAUGCACGCACUGUUUGGAUGAUACCGACAGUAUAUAUUUGGAUAGUUGUAGGAAGAAUGUGUACCUGGGACAUCGUCGAUUUCUUCCGAGCAGGCAUCCCGCAAGAAAGGAAGGCAAGCAUUUCAAAGGUGAGGCGGAUCACCGGACGAAGCCUCGCCACCGUACUGGUGCUGAUGUACAUGAUAUGGUCAAGGAUUUGAAGGUAAUCUUUGGAAAGGGUCCUGGCGGACAACCUGUUCCGAAGGACACUGACGGACGCACACCCAUGUGGAAGAAGAAAUCUAUAUUUUGGGACCUGCCAUAUUGGAAAGACCUAGAGGUCCGCUCCGCAAUCAACGUGAUGCACGUGAUGAAGAAUGUUUGCGUGACCCUGCUUGGCUUUUUGGGCGUGUAUGGGAAGACAAAUGAUACACCAGAGGCACGGGAGGACCAGGAACAUAUGCAUGGAAAAGACGACAUACAUCAGGGUUAGGCCAGCUACGCUCUUACCAAAGAAGAGAAGGAAAUCUUCUUUGAAUGCCUGCUCAACAUGAAGGUACCGUCUGGCUUCUCGUCGAAUAUAAGGGGAAUAAUAAAUAUGGCAGAGGAAAAGUUCCAGAACCUAAAGUCUCAUGACUGCCACGUGAUUAUGACACAACUACUUCCGGUUGCAUUGAGGUGGCUUCUACCGGAAAACGUUUGAUUAGCCAUUGUGUAGCUAUAUGCAUUCCUCAAUGCAAUCUCUCAAAAGGUAAUUGAUCCAGAAAUCAUACCAAGGUUACAGAAUGAUUUGGUGCAAUGCCUUGUCAGUUUCGAGUUGGUGUUCCCACCAUCCUUCUUCAACAUCAUGACGCACGUCCUAGUUCACCUUUGCGAAGAGAUUAACGUUUUGGGUCCUGUAUUUCUACACAAUAUGUUCCCCUUUGAGAGGUUCAUGGGAGUCUUGAAGAAAUAUGUUCAUAACUGUGCUAGGCCAGAAGGAAGCAUCUCGAAGGGCCAUGAAAAUGAGGAGGUCAUUGAGUUUUGUAUUGACUUUAUUCCGGACCUUAAGCCGAUUGGUGUUCCUGAAUCGCGACAUAAGGGCAGACUAGAUGGAAAAGGCAUGCUAGGAGGGCAUCAAAUAAUAUGUAUGGACGGGCAUUCUCUCACUGAAGCACACUACACAGUUCUACAGGAUUCCGCCUUGGUGGCUCCGUAUAUGGAGGUGAGGGAGUCCUGGAUUAGGGGGUAUCUGGACAGCCGGACUAUAUACAUCGUCCGGACUAUCGAAGCGUGAAGAUACAAGACUCAAGACUUUGGCCCGUGUCCGGAUGGGACUCUCCUUUGCGUGGAAGACAAGCUUGGCGAUCCGGAUAUCAUAUUUCCUUCCUUGUAACCGACUCCAUGUAAACCCUAGCCCUCUCCGUUGUCUAUAUAAACCGGAGAGGAUGGUCCUUAGAAGACCGAUCACAAUUACAAUCAUACCAUCAUAGGCUAGCUCUUAGGGUUUAGCCUCUACGAUCUAGUGGUAGAUCUACUCUUGUAAUACUCAUAUCUUCAAUAUUAAUCAAGCAGGAAGUAGGGUUUUGCCUCCAUCGAGAGGGCCCGAACCUGGGUAAACAUUGUGUCCCUUGCUUCCUGUUACCAUCAGUCUAAGACGCACAGAUCGGGACCCCCUACCCGAGAUCCGCCGGUUCUGACACCGACAUUAGUGCUUUCAUUGAGAGUUCCUCUGUGCCGUCGCUUCAAGGAUUGAUGGCGUCUUCAAUCAUCAACAACACGGUCCGGGGUGAGACUUCUCUCCCCGGACAAAUCUUUGUGUUCGGCGGCUUCGCACUGCGGGCCAAUUCGCUUGGCCAUCUGGAGCAGAUCGACAGCUAUGCCCCUGGCCACCAGAUCAGGUUCGGAAACUUGAACUACACGGCGGAUAUUCGCGGAGAUUUGAUCUUCGACGGAUUCGGCCCUGUGCUGGGAACGCCGGACAGUCACGACGGGCGCAGCCUAGACCUGCUGUCGGACAAUGCUCGGAACAUUGUCCCUGCAAUAGCCCGGAUCUAGAUCCGAAACAGAUUGCGUUUCCCAAGGACGGAGGGGUAGACCCCGCCUCACAGGCCGCAUACUCAUAAGCGUUGGAGCCAAACACAUGUCUCACCUCUGUGGAGACAUGUAACCCCGGACCCCCAGACUCAUCGUUGGUUCCGGUCCGCACACCCUCGAGCCAGCCGAGCCAGGUUGGGCUCCGGCGAUGGAGUUUACCGCUGUGGACAUAUUUCAAUGAUCGCCCUUUGGCGACAUGCUGAACUCAUUAAAGUUUCUCUCUCUGUCAGGGGACUCUGGGCCGAACUAUGUCCGGCUGGAGUGGGAAGCAGGUGACGAAGGAAUUCGCCGCCCACCCACCACCCACUUGAUUGCCACGAUUGAUGAUUUAACCGACGUGCUUAACUUAGACUACGAAGACAUCGACGGUAUGGACGACGAUGCAGAAGACUUACAGGAGCCACCGCUCAUAGGGCGGUGGACAACCACCUCUUUAUACGAUAUAUGUAUGGUGGAUACUCCUAAGGAAGCCAAUGGCGACGAGGCAACGGAGGACAACCCCUCAGAGGGAAAAGCAAAGCAUGGGUGUCUUCGCCGCCACUCCAAGCCCCGCCACAUCAAUGCCGGCCCCGGAGAUGAAAACAAUCCGGAUGGUGCCGAAGAGGAAUACAACCUUAAUCAGCCUACCUUUAAACAGGCCAGACAUGCCACAGUGGGGUACGUGGAGUGGGACAACUAUACACCCUCACCCGAAGACGAGGUAAGCCUCGGCAAUGACGAAUUCAGCGUGCCUGAAGAUCCAGUGGAACAAAUUCGCUUCAAGCGACGACUCACGGCCACGGCAAGGAGCCUGCAAAGGAAGCAAGAGCAGCUUAAAAUCAACCAGGAUUUGCUCAUGGAUAGGUGGACCAAGAUCCUGGCCACCGAAGUGUACGGACUCGACCGCCCUAACAAAGGGUACACGCGGCACAACUGGCUAUCUCAACCUAAGCAGGCGAACCAAAGGCACACAACCCGACGUCCGCACACCACGAUAGUCCAAGAAAGCAAGAAGGAUACACGAAGAGGCAUCCUCAAGCCUCGGCGCAAGGGCCAUAAACACCAUGUCAGGGAAGCUGGUGCCAAGUUCAGCAACUCCCAGUCCGGUCAACGGACAAAGAACGGCUCAAGCCUAUUCGGCCCGAGCCACAAACUCGAUCAACCGUGCGAAAUACACGGUACUCCAAGAAGGACGGCAAAAAAUACCAAUAGAGAAUGCCGGAUCUCCAAAACAAAGCGACUGGUCGUAUGCCGGAAACAAUGAAGGUAGGCAUCUAGUCAAGAGACCCCCCAGGGCACAACAGUACGGCCGAUCGUCCCCUAUCAUACAAACCACGACAACUUAAUUGCCGUACCCCUCGACCUAGUAGUCUAGGGGCUCCAUAAUACAUAAAGCCCCUGCGGGUAUAAACUUACAAAUAACCACCUUCUAUAAGGUGUCUGGUGCAAAGGCCAAGUUCAUUGGCCCACCGCUCUAACAGUUGUUCUUAGAUAGCCAACAAAAAAUAUACCACGCCAUCGACGCACCCCCCCAUACGGCAACCCACCGUAUGCUAACGGGAUGAACUAUGUUGACUAGAUUCCACGUGGUAAACCAUUAGGCCAACAUACAAGGCUGAAACCCCGCCCUUAGAGCGGAAAUCAUACAGCUGCCGGAGUAGCAAGUCGUGCAUGCCUAUCAAUAUUUUGAUAGAACAACCAUCUCUCCGGACACCCAUGGAGGAGUCCGGGCUACUUACCGGUAUAGCGGCUAGGGUCACCAGGAUCCGAUCAUGAACCUUUAAACCAACCAUGGGAGGACGCCCGACUGCCUCCGAACAUUUACCUUCACAAACUAACUUUUAUGCAGAACAGGAUUGGCGGCGUGGAAUCGGCCCGGACACAUAAAGGACAGGACCAUGCAGGUAGAAGGCAGUUCAGAUCCCCUUUCAAUCCAUUCACAGCCCCCUCCAGUCUGGCCAUCACAGGUUCCGCCAAAAACCAUUCCUUUUUCAUCAUCAUAAAUCACACUCACAUGCAUAGACAUAUCAUCCUACUACAAUGCAUAGACUUAAACAACACGUACCGGCCAUCGUCUAUCAUCGACGCCUCUUCGCCACAAACCGGCAGCCAUGCUUCGUGUUAUGCCCGGCUAUGCCAGGGACUUCACGGUACGGCACUAAAAAGUCCGACCACCUUUCCGGUCGCUCAACACCCCAAACUUAUAGCACUAUAUGCAUCAGCUCCGAAUCAUGUCUUGGGUCAUUGGUUGGGUUUGCCCGGCUCCCAUGUUUUGGUACCUUACGUUUCGUUCCGUCGACUAAGGUAGCACUGGGAGAACUACUGCGAUUGUGUCCCGGUUCUGCCGGACGAGCACCUCAGUAGAGAAAGCCGAAAACCGAUUGUCAUGAUGGAGCGAGAGCUGGUCAGCUAUUCGAGAGGUUGUAAAAUCCUUAAAGAUUUAUUCUGCAUAACGCCACUAUAAAAUGCAGAUUGCGACGGAUCGGUCUUCUGAUCAGGCGCCAAUAGAGCCCUUAGUUCGGCCUUACGAACACUAGGGGUUGCGCCAACCAUACUCGAAUUCCUAUGGCUAAGUGAGGGUAGUAAAGCCAUAUAUAGUCCGAUUGCCUAGUUCGUGGUGAGAAACACCUCCUUAAAAGGACCCAACCAUGGGAUAAAGAGUGUUCAGAAAUACCCCGAACACCCCCGUACUUCUCACGUGGGGGCUGAAGCCGACGACUGGCCAACUCUCAGAAUUUAGAUACAAUAAACAGCCGCACGGGAAGAACAUAUGUUCACACAAAAUAGGCAAUACAUAAUAAGCGUGCCAUUAUACCAUAUUACAAAUAUUGGCAAGAAUGCCCUCAGGGGAAUAUAAUGUCUUUGGAGCACUUAUCCGCCGCCAGGCGGGCUCCCUUCAGUACACCCUCAUAGUACAGUUCGGGCUUGCGAUGCUCCUUACCCUCUGGUGACCCCUCAGUUAUCAACAUCUCCGCGUCAAGCUUCCCCCAAUGCACUUUCGCAUGGGCAAGCGCCAUGCGCGCACCUUCUAUAUAGACUGAUCGCUUGAUUGAAUCAAGCCGAGGACAGGCGCCCACAAUCCGCUUUACGAGUCCGAAGUAACUGCUUGGAAUUGGCUCUACAGGCCACAGCCGGAUAAUGAAGUCCUUCAUGGCUAGUUCGGCCGCCUAGUGCAGUUCGACCAACUGCUUUAGCUGAUCGAUAAAAGGCACCGGAUAGUUCAGCACCAAAUACUGCGACCAGAAGUUCCUCCCUGCAGACUCCCUUUUCUCGGUCCGGUAAAAUUGGUAGCAUCUGAUAUGCUGCGAGGUAGAUCUGCAAACGCCCCAGUAAAAUCAAGAAUUCAGCUUGCCGCUUAGAAUUCCCCAUACUAUCACGUAAUAAUGUCCAUAAAUACAACUGGCCUCACCAGCCGCAACCUUCCGGGCCUCCUGAAUGUCCCGUGCAGCGCCUCGGGCUUCUUCUCGAGCAUCUUCCACGGCUUGAAGAGCUUGGGCGAGUUCAGAUUCUUUCCCUACUAGACUCUGCUCCAAGCUCUCACUUUUUGUCAUAGCUUCCUGGAGCUUCCGCUCAGCUGCGACGACCCUGGCCUCAUGUUCUUCACGAAGCGCAUGUUCGGUGGCAACCUUUUCGUAGGCGUCAGUCGCCGCCUUCUUCAGCGCCUCAUAUUCGGCACUCGCUCCUAGGGCGUAUAACAUAAGUUACUUUUCAAUAGGCACACUUAUUCGUUUGUGCCCAAUGCAAGACAAUGUUUAAACAUACCUUGCUUCUCCUCUAAUUGCUUCUUCACACGGCCGAGUUCUUCUUUGGCCCGUUCCAGGCUCUGCUUCAGUUCAGACACUUCCGCAUCAUGAGCGGCCAUCCUCUCCGCGGACGCCUAUUUUCAAACAAAUGGUAUAUAUCAUCAAACAACAGGCUCCCAUUAAAAUAGAGGGUUUGAUCCCCUGCCCAGCUCCAUCUCGUCGGACAGUGUAUUAGGGGCUACUACUCAUAUCAUGAUGAUUCCUCAAAGUUUCCUUAGAAACCAUACCUCAAAAGCCUUUAAAAGACCAAUGCAGGACUCAUUCAGCCCGCCUUCGGCACACUGAAUCUUUCCAACCACCGCACCCAUAAGGGUCUGAUGUUCAUCGAUGAUAGACGUGUUCUCCAGCGCUGUCGAUAGACCGCCCGACAGCUCUGCAUAGACAGAGGUGGCCGGCAGAUUAGGCAAACCUCCCUCCUUGAAGGGUGGCUUCUCGCCUGAUCCUGGAGCCAUAGAGGCCUCCAGGACCUUAUCUGGCUUGGGGUCUCCUCGAGACAACACCUCGGUGUCGCGCAUGGACUCCGGAAAAAGAGCCGCCGGAGGCGUCUCGCUCGCCACAGCAUCCGAACUCAACGAAUCCUCCAACGAUGACUGUCCGGCAGGGGGUCUCACCGGGCUGUACGAGACAUGGCGGCAGUUAAAACUACUAUACUCAGACGACCCUGAAUGCAUAGGCGCGUUAGGGAUUCGGUUACUUACGAUUUUUCCAGGGGCUGGGCUCUGGGAUCCCACUCCGAGCCACUGUCGGUAGCCGGGGGGGAUGCCUCUGGACGGGAACCUAUCCCCCUCUUGGGCGAUUCGGCCUCCAGGGAUGGGGAAGCCGCGCGCUUCUUCCCACCUACAGAGUGAGGCUCGUCCUCCACUGCUUCCUCCUCUUCGUCUUUGGAAGAGGGAGCGUCGCCGGAGUCCUCGGAUUUAGCGUCCGAAGUCUCGCAGCAACGGAGGCCACUCCGGGUCUUCUUGACCUUCUUGGAGUCCUCCUUCUUUGGCGCCUCAUAAGGCACGGGGACCAGCAUCCUCGUUAGAAGAGGUCGGAUGGUUCCUCCGGCAGUGGGGCCGGACAAUGCAUCCGCUCCACCUUCUUAAUCCAUCCCUGUGGUCAUGAUGAAACACGAUUAAAAUACCUCCUUCAUGACAUACCAACUAAAGCAUGGACGGACAGGGCGUGACUAUAACUUACUGGGCUUGGAGAAUGGGAUAAUUGAUACCCCCGAUCCUCGGAGGAGUCCGGCCAUGAUUUCCCGGACUUAAAGAGCACCUUCCAGAUAUCCUCGUGGGAGGAGUCAUAGAGCUCCUGAAGGGUCUGGUGCUCAGUCGGGUCGAAUUCCCACAGAGUGCAGGCUCGACGCUGACAAGGUAGAACCAGGCGAGCUAGCAUCACCUGGACUACAUCGACGAGUUUGACGUCCUUAUCAACCGCGCUCCGGACGCGCGUCUGGAGCAGCGAUAGCUCAUCGGACGAGGACCAGUUUGGGCCCUUCUUGGGCCAGGACGUGAGCCGCAGUGGAGCUCCGGAUCUGAACUCAGGAGCUGCAGCCCACUUUUUGCUAUGUGGUUUGGUGAUAUAAAACCAAUGCUGCUGCCACUGCUUGACGGAGUCGUUGAAGGUGCCCUUCGGCCAAAUGACCUUGGGCAUCUUGCUCACCAUGGCACCACCACACUCGGCGUGUUCGCCACUUACCACCUUGGGCUUCACAUUGAAAAUUUUCAGCCAUAGGCCAAAGUGAGGCGGAAUUCGGAGGAAGGCCUCGCACACGACGAUGAAUGUCGAGAUAUUGAGGAAGGAGUUGGGGGAAAGAUCAUGAAAAUCAAUCCCGUAAUAAUACAUGACUCCACGGACAAAUGGGUGGAGGGGAAACCUGAGCCCGCGGACAAAAUAGGGAAGGAACACGACUCUCUCGUGGGGCUCCGGAGUAGGGACGACCUGUCCCGCCGGUGGGAGGCGGUGGCCGAUCUUCUUGGCCAGAUACCCGGCUUCCCGGAGCUUCUUGAUAUCCUUCUCACGGACGGUAGAGGCCGUCCAUUUGCCUCCUGCUCUGGAUCCGGACAUCUUUGGAAAACCUCUCUUCGACAGAAAAGAAGAAGGCUUGGGCGUUAGGGCUCGAGCAGAGGGGAAUACGUUAGCGGAAGGAGAAAGCAUGGGAGAAGAGGAAGAAACUUUAUCUCUUUAUAAGAGGAAGUACGGCUUUUUGCGCCUCCCCACUUGCCUGGUGGAACCCGCUCACCUCCCACUCACCGCGAUUAGCGGUGCGGUUGGAUUACCCAUACCCGUAUUGAUGAGAAUCCCGUGAUAAGAGGACAUGAUCUCUGCGUUGACAAGACGUAUCAAGGAAACCGCCCCACAAUACGCGUAGUGCCUGGUUGUGGGAAAAACAGUUCGAAUAAUGACCUGGCUGUAAUGACAUAUCACGUCAUCUAAAAGUUGUCAGCUGAAGCAUCAUUCUCUCUACGAUGGUGUGAGAAGAUCAUCUUGCAGAUCCGGACACGGUCUACGUGUUCGAUAAAUAACCUUGGAGUAUUCGGAGAAGGAACCCGCCUUGCAAUGCCGAAGACAAGACUGCGCGCCGGACUCAUCGUCAUUGAAGCCUGGUUCAGGGGCUACUGAGGGAGUCCUGGAUUAGGGGGUAUCCGGACAGCCGGACUAUAUACAUCGUCCGGACUAUCAAAGCGUGAAGAUACAAGACUCAAGACUUCGACCCGUGUCCGGAUGGGACUCUCCUUUGCGUGGAAGACAAACUUGGCGAUCCGGAUAUCAUAUUUCCUUCCUUGUAACCGACUCCAUGUAAACCCUAGCCCUCUCCGGUGUCUAUAUAAACCGGAGAGGAUGGUCCUUAGAAGACCGAUCACAAUUACAAUCAUACCAUCAUAGGCUAGCUCUUAGGGUUUAGCCUCUACGAUCUCGUGGUAGAUCUACUCUUGUACUACUCAUAUCUUCAAUAUUAAUCAAGCCACCUGCCCCGAUCGACGCUGUCGCCGCCCCGGCCGUCCCCGCCCCUCGUUGCCGCCCCCAUCGAUGUUGUCGCCCCGGCCGUCCCCGUCCCCAUCGCCGCGCCCCGCCCGGCCCAUCGUCGCCGCCCCGUCCCGUCGCCCCGUCGUCACCGCCCCGUCCCGUCGCCCCGUUGUCGCCGCCCCGUCGUCGCCUCGCUGGUGAGCUCACCCCGGCCGCCAUGUCCACACACACACACACACAUUAGUUUGUUUGUUAUAAAUUUUAGUUAUAGAAUUUUUUCUAUUUUUUAAUUCUAGAAAUGUUAGAAAUUAUUCUGUUUUUUAGUUAUAGAAAUAUUAGAAAUGUAAGUUAUAUAGAAAUGUUAUAAUUUUUUUUCCUGUUUUUUAGUUAUAGAAAUAUUUAUAGAAAUGUUAGCAAUUUUUCUGUUUUUUAGUUAUAUAAAUAUUAGAAAUGUUAUAGAAAUGUUAGUUAUAUAAUCAUAAAUGUUAGAAAUUUUAGAAUUAGUUUUAGUUNNNNNNNNNNNNNNNNNNNNNNNNNNNNNNNNNNNNNNNNNNNNNNNNNNNNNNNNNNNNNNNNNNNNNNNNNNNNNNNNNNNNNNNNNNNNNNNNNNNNNNNNNNNNNNNNNNNNNNNNNNNNNNNNNNNNNNNNNNNNNNNNNNNNNNNNNNNNNNNNNNNNNNNNNNNNNNNNNNNNNNNNNNNNNNNNNNNNNNNNNNNNNNNNNNNNNNNNNNNNNNNNNNNNNNNNNNNNNNNNNNNNNNNNNNNNNNNNNNNNNNNNNNNNNNNNNNNNNNNNNNNNNNNNNNNNNNNNNNNNNNNNNNNNNNNNNNNNNNNNNNNNNNNNNNNNNNNNNNNNNNNNNNNNNNNNNNNNNNNNNNNNNNNNNNNNNNNNNNNNNNNNNNNNNNNNNNNNNNNNNNNNNNNNNNNNNNNNNNNNNNNNNNNNNNNNNNNNNNNNNNNNNNNNNNNNNNNNNNNNNNNNNNNNNNNNNNNNNNNNNNNNNNNNNNNNNNNNNNNNNNNNNNNNNNNNNNNNNNNNNNNNNNUUGUUAGAAUUUGCAUAUAUAUAUAUAUAUAUAUAUAUAUAUAUAUAUAUAUAUAAUUUUAGUUAUCACAAUCCAAUCAUUUAAAAAAUGUUACUUUUUGCGGUCUUAUAUUAUUUGUUCUCGACGAUAUGCCCGGCCCGCAUCCUCACCGUCGCCCCGUUCACGACGACGUCCUGCUUCAGAGGACCCAUGUCCGGGACUGGGCUCCGCAGGGCUGGCACUGGGAGGUGCUACCUGGAGGGGCGCGCCGCUUGGUGAGGAACCCGGCCUCGGGUCCCGUCGUCGACCCUGAUCUCCUUUGGUGGCGUUUGCGUGGGCCACAUUCGGUGCAGAGGGAGCCGGCACCGCUGGAGGUGGUGCGUCGUCGUGUCAGGGAGGAGGACAAGCACGUCCAUCGCUACAUGGAUGCUAUGGAUGUGAGGUUCUCCAAUGCUUGGCAGGUUCUUUGGGCAGAUGACCGGAGAUAUGAUCCUGUGAUGGUUCCUUCUCUUUGGGUGUCCACCGCCCGCGCCCCAGGAACCGCGAGUGGCCUAGAUUCUUCUGUAGUACUCGAUCUUUAUUAGGUACCUAGCCAGUGAUGUAUUAGAUAUAUAAUAUUCGAGACGAUGUAUUCGAGAUUAUAUAUAUUAAGACAAUGAUGUAUUCGAGAUUACAUAUUAAUCGAGACGAUGCAUAUAUUAUGUACUAUAUAUAUGAUUCAGUUUUUCCUUAUUGAUUGCAUCCAUGCAUUGUAAUUUGAAUACUAAAUUGUUUUAUAUUUCUUCUAUAUUAGAUAAGUAAAAGCUAUGGCGGACAAUACCGGCAGAGAGAGAGAAGAGGAAUUGUUCGACAUCAUAUGCAGCCCCCAUAGGCUAGAUGAUCUGAAUGAAGCAGAUGACGGCUCCCAAUAUCUGAACAAUACCGGAGAGGGUGAUGAAAAGAUAUUCGAUCUCGACGACCGAGCUGAUGAAGUCAUGAACUAUGAUUAUGAUUAUGAUGAAACAGACAAUGUUUAUGAUGACACAGACAAUGUUGAUCUUCAAAUAACAAAGACUACCGGCGAGGUAUAUUUAUAUAAGCAGGCAUCAUGGUGAUCAUCACAUGUUUUUUAUUAAAGAUAUAUUAACGAAUCGAUCUUUCUUCUUUCAGCCCUCCGGAUCGAGCAAAUCUGCUUCUACAGACAGCAGGACAAAGCGAGGCCCGGGCAGAUUGUUGAAGGAGGGUGUAAAGUACAACAUCGAAUCCACCAAACCUAGUGGCGAACCCCUCAUGCCUAAGAACAUUGCGAACAAGUGGACUCAUCAGUGCGGAGUUCUUGUGAAGGACCAACUCCCGAUCUCCAUUCAAGAAUGGAAAGAGCCAAAGACUAAACGUCCAGGUGUUACUUGGGUCGACGACAGAGCCAAAAAAGUCCUUUGGGAAUCUCUGAUGGAACAUUUCACCCUACCAGAUCAUUUCACUGAAGCAGAUGUGGAGAAAGUCAAGGGCGCUGCUCUUAAGAAGAUGGCAAUUGCAUUCAACACCCACAAGAAAACUGUAUGGGACAACUACCUCGCUACAGAAAGGAAGACUCCAGAAUUCACGAGAACACUAGAGAAGCAAAAAGAACACUGGGCCGAUUUCAUGAAAUUCAAGGAAUCAGAAUUAUCUAAGGAACGGUCGAUAAAAAAUAAGGCCAAUGCCGCUAAAAAGACGCAGUUCCAUAGGCUGGGUCCAGGUGGCUAUGCAGUGGAAUGCCUAAUUGGGAUAAGUCUGAGCAAGAGAUGGAGGAUGCAGGGGUCACUCCAGUUACUAGGAGCUGGCCCCCCAGGUGCAGAACUUGGUUCUAUGGGCAUGGGGGCGUUGGACCCGAAGACAGGCCUAGUUUCGCAAAAGGCAAGUCUAAAAGGAGCCGAACAAAAGAUACUUGACGUAAUAGAAGAAGCUCGAACGGGGGUGUUCACGCCCAAAAGAGAGAACGACGAGCUUAUGCGCGCCCUGGGAAAUCCUGAACACCCGGGAAGAACAUGAGGCAAGGGCCUUAUUCCCUGGUAUGAGGGCUUUUCAGAAUGGAACGAGGACUACAGGUCCUGUGCAAGAAAGAAGAUGGAGGAGGAGAAGAAGAGGAAGCUGGAGGAGGAUCAGAGGAAGCAGGACGUAGAACGCCUUCAAGGCCUAGAAGCAAGGCAUGCGGACUUGGCACUCAAAUUCCAGCAACAGCACCAGCAGAUCGACUCACUUAGCCAGGAAAGGGGGUCUCAGCAGCGGCAGCAGCAAGCGGAUGAUCGUCCAGCAUUGGAUAGCACCGUCCCAUCCAUGUCGAGAAGCAGCGUUGGUUCUGCCCCGGGCAACACCCUGCUGGAUACAUACCCUAUGGAUGACAUCAUAGAGAACACUAACUGUGAGCUACACUCCAAAAUGAAGAACAUAUCCAUGAAGGUGGCGGACGGUGUUGCUUUUACAAUUACCCCCGAAGCAACCUUCCAUUGCACCCCGAUUCCAGAGGGCUAUGCUCGUGUCUUGGUUGAUGAAGUGGUGGACCCAUAUUUGGGGCUACAGCUUGACAUUCCUGGAGGUGAAGACGAGCGCACACUGGGAGAGGCCAUACAUCGUAUCAUCCUAUGGAGAAAGGAUUGCAUCAUCUUUCGAAGUCCACCAACACCGCGUCGUCUGCCGACUCCUCCUCGAAGUCGGCCACCGAGUCAGCAGACUCCCGCUCCUCCAAGUCCACGAACGCGUGAGCCGACUCCUCCUCGAAGUCCGCCACCUCCUCCAAGUCCCCGAACGCGUGAGCUAACUCCUCCGGUUUCAAGUCCGGCACAGCGUCAUGCCACUUCUCCGGUUUCAAGUCCGGCACCAUGUCAGGCCACACCUCCUGCUUCAAGUCCGGCACAACGUUAGGCCACUUCUCCUGCUCCAAUUCAGCCACGUCAGGUGUCUCCGCCGUCUCAGCAAUCGCAGAAGAGACACGCCGCAGCUAUGGUGCGUAGCGGUACGAGUCGAGGUAGUUCAGGAAGUACAGGCGGAGACAAGCGAUAUAAAUAUGGUCCAAGCCUCGCUCCUCUUCCUCAGAGGCCUUACGACAUGACCGAGGAGCAAAACACAGCCAUAGUGCAGGCCCAAGUGGACGCCCAUUUUGCACCGAAACCGGCACCGCCGCCAAGGGAGAAAGUGCCUGAGGAAAAGAUUGACCACUUCGUUCGUAUGGCUAGAGCACCAGCUCCCAAGCCUGUUGACUCAGACUAUGAGCGCCAAAUCAGGAAGUCACAUCAAUCACGACUACAGAAGGAAGCGAGCUCGAGCUCGAGCCAACAAGCAGCGGGCAAAAAAUGCAGGAAAACCGUUUCCUAGCUGGGAGAACAGGCGGUGCAAUUGAUCCCCCCGCUUUUUGUGCCAGCAACACAUGACAGGAGGCUGCGCGCCCAAUAUUAUUGUGGGCAAACCAUUAAAGUUCCCCAACUGGGCGAUGUGGUAAUAACGGAGGAGCAUAUAAUGCAGGCUGAAAUGCUCAAGAUCUCUGUUGGACAACUCCUCGAAAUUGAGCCCAUGUCUCCGCUUAGAGAGGAGGAAAUAAAACGGAAAUAUGUUCGGGGCCAACCUUCGGUCGAGCCAGACAAGGUCAAGAACCUCCCAACGAGAAUGUAUGAAUUGCAUUAAUGGUACAUGAACAUUACCAAGAUUUCUAAUCGAGAGUCCCUCAUGGUGAAUGUCAAGGAGGAGCAUUACUUCCAUGAGAAAGCUCUGUGCGUUGAGUAGUCAGAACUAUUUCAGCUAUACAAUCAAAACGCACUCAACAAAUCUAUCGUCAGUUGCUAUUGUCUGUAAGUGAUUUCUUUCUGUAAUUUUUGAUCAAUCAUUACAUGUAACUAUCCUCACUAUAUAUUCUUUUCUGUGGUAUUAUAUGCAGGAUGAAGAUGUAUGAAAUGAAAAAAUCUGGACACUAUGGCAUUGGGUUCAUUGACUCAAAUACCAUUAAUGAGUACACAUGGAAUCUUUCAACUAGUCGAGAUAGUGUAGAGGAAAGCAUGAUGGAGUUCUUAAAGCGCCUCAAUACCAGUGAAGAUAUACUACUUCCUUACAACUUCCUGUGAGUCAUACUGUCUUGUACUACAAAUUUUGUUUUUGCUUACUAGCUAGCUAGAUGUUAAUAAUUAAGUGUAUAGGGUUUACGGUAGUUGAUUAGUGUUAUGCACAUGCCCGCUUAAUUAAGACAUGCAAACGUGUGCGCAUGCAGUUUCCACUAGAUCUUGUUAGACAUUAAAGUUGACAAAUGAACAGUUGAAGUACUGGACUCACUACUGAAAGAAGAAAAAUACUACACCAUCGUGAAGGGGAUAGUCAACAGGUAAUUUCAAUCAUUAUUAACUAUAUCUCGGCCUAUUUAGUUCGUCAUUUCCUGAUAUGAACUAUUUAAUAACCCCUUUAUUAAUUUUCUUUGCCGGUGGGCAGGGCUUGGGCAAAGUUCAUCAAGGUGACUCCAGGCAAAUGGGCAAAAAAGCUAUUUUGGUAUCGACCAAAGGUAAUUAAUUAAGUAGUACUAGCUAGCUAGCUAGCUAGAUACCAUCUCUUUAAUUCUUAUUUCAAUACCAUUAAUUAAUUAUCAUGCUUGAUUAAUCAUUAUCUGAUUCAAUUCCAUUCUCGUAAAGGCCUUGAAGCAGGCGUCGGGGAAUGAUCUAUGUGCAUUCUACGUUUGCGAGAACAUUCGCAUGAUGACGUCCGGAAGGAGCAGAUCUCAAAGACAGGACUGGGUACGUUUUGUCAGAAUACUAUUCACACCAUUAUCGAUAUCUAGUCACACAACUAAUACACAUGCAUAUUGAUCUCCUUCUUAACAGUUCAGAGAGGUGCGGGAGCAGCUCCUACCAGCGGAGCGCAUACUAGCACUUCAAGAGGAAAUAGCGGGAUUUUUGCUCGACCAGGUCAUAGAUCCCAAAGGAGAAUACUGUUACCCGCUACCGCCCCCAUGAACCACUUGUCAUCGUGCUCCGAAGGCACCAAGGCAACAUGUAGGAGAAAUUGUAUAUGUGUAUACAUGCAUGUGUGUAUGUGUAAAUAAUUAAUGGUGUUGGUUGUGAGACAUUCGAUGAUAUAUAUUUAUAUAUAUAUAUAUGUGGUUCUACGUACAGGAAAAUCUAUUUAUAUAUAUGCAUAACGUGUACAAUUUGUAGUAUCGUAAAAUACCAGCAAACAAAAAAGAAUUAAAUGGAAAACACAAAAUUAAUGGAAAAAAAAACAAAACCCCCCAAACAUUUAGUACCGGUUGGUGUUACCAACCGGUACUAAAGCCCUACACGGACCCUGGCCUGGCUCGUGCCACGUGGUGGCACUUUAGCACCGGUUCGUGACGAACCGGUACUAAAGGGGGGCUUUAGUCCCCACUCUUUAGUGCUGGUUGCCGAACCGGUACUAAAGGCCGUUACGAACUGGCGCUAAAGCCCAGUUCUGCACUAGUGGGGUGCAACCUGCAUUGAGAGCCCCUUCGAGGAACCACCAUGAAAUGUAAACCAUAGGUUCUUGUCGCUUGAGGAUUGCCAGUCUGUGGCAAGCCCUCGGAUCCGCUGGAUCCACUAAUCACCUUCUGUUUUCCCACUGCUUCCUUCUUAUCAAUGAAAAGCCAGCGAAAAGCUGGAUCUUUAAAAAAUUCUAGUUCAAUGAGAAGAACAACCUACUAUAUUUUUGACCAUUGACCAUUCAUCUGUACUUUUUAGUAUGCUUAUUAUGUAAACAUCAUGUUAUUUGACAUGAUAGCUUACAUGGCGAACAUCGUGAUAAUUUUUGUUUCUAGAGAGAAAAGUUGUUGAAAUAAUGAAAACUACACUAGGCAAACAUUAGUCAAACAUACAACACAAUGAAAGCACGCAGACUAACUGCAACUAGGUAGACAGGAUCAGAAAGAAAGACAGUACGAAGCUAAACAGAUAAUAGUCUUCACAGAGUGAAGUCAAACAGACCAGACAGGCAAGCAAUGACUUCAUGAGGACAAUUGUAAAUUAAGGUAGAGGAUAGAACCGGUAGCUUGACGAAGACAAGGAUUUGGUAGACCAGUUCCAGUUGCUGUGACAACUGUAUGUCUAGUUAGGGAGGCUGAGAUUUAACUCAGAAGACCGUGUCUUCACCUUAUUCCCCUUGAGCUAAGGACACCCAGUCCCCACCCAAUCACUCUGGUAAGUCUUCGAGGUAGACUUCCAAACCUUCACAGACUUCGUUCACCGGCAAUCCACAUUGACUCUUGGAUGCUCAGAACGCGACACCUAACCGGCUGGAGGAUUCACGAUCCUCAAGUGCAACAAGUCUUCAGGUCACUCGGAUAGAAAGACUUCAGUGAUGCCUGACACUCUUUGGCCAUGUACAACUCAGGUGGACAUCAAACUAGGAAAAACAUCAAAUAAGGCCAUGUACAACUCAGGUGCUUGCACAGGCACCUCAGAGAAAAGAACCUCUUUUUUUUGUACUCUCUCUCUCUCUCUCUGUGCGCGCGCUUGUGUGGUGUGAACUUUCUACAGAAAAAAUAUAUCUGAUUCUCUAACAAAAACCUGACUGAAAAAGAAAACACAAGAAUAGCAGAAGAAUGGUACUCUGUUUGUUGCAAUUUUAGUGAUCUUAUGUAGCAGUUCAGGGUAGCACCAGUAAUUUGUAGUGUAGGACCCUUAUUAUCCAGGGAAUGAGUUGCACUGGUCUUCAACAAUCACUCUUCGCACCCAUGAUCUGGAUGGAUUGCAGCAAGUAAGCAAAUACUUAGAUUGCCGACGCUCUGCAUUGAAGAAUAAAUAUACAGUGCUUGGGACCAAAUGAGAAGCGCCACCAUCCAUUAACAAAAAAUCUCAAGCUCCCUCCAGUAAACAAAAAAUAUAUAAUCCCUAUGAUAGUUCUGGGAUUUCUUUAGCUUGAUGAGGUCAACAACGAAGGAGACCAAGAGACGACGAGCAAAGCACGAGUCGUAUUUGUGGCUUGAACCAGAACUCGCCGCGAACAUUAAUGGGUAGGGCUACCGUAGCGAGUAGGUGUUUCUGUGUUUGGUAAUGAAGAUGCAGGGAAUGAUGCUUUCUUGGGGGCACUUUUCCUUUCCCCAAUGGUGUCUACUAUGGGCAUGCUUGGGUAAUUGGGUUCCUUUUUUCAUCAGGUAAGAAUAUUUUGGAGCCUUUGAGAACCCGAAAAAGAAAUGACUGGUAGAUCCUAUAGUGGGCUACUAGUUAGGAAGUGAACAUAAGGUAUCAAGAGGUCCCUCACAGUCAGGUGCAAUGCAAUUGCCCCCUAUUAGUCAAGUACCGCUCUUCCUAUUUAGUUUAGGGGUUAAGGCGAGAAAUGGCUUGAUGAACCCUUCCGUUCACCACGCACCGGCCCCAUUCACUUGCAACUCGUAGAGGCUAUAAGUAAACAGUGCCCCACUAAAUUCAAAGUGACGGUGGGGUUGAAAGACCAGAGUGUCAAUACAAGCAGCUUGUAAAUAUCUCUCAAAACAAACAUUACUAAAAAGAGCUCCCAAAAUAAAUAACUCUGUAUAAUAUGGAUAUUUGAUAGCAUAUACAUAGGUUCAAAAUCCGGACUGGACAAAACUAGACUCCAAUAUAUAUGCUGCUAGACGAUUUAGCAAAAUCUAACAUGACUUCAAACUAGGACAGAACUUAAACUCCAUUAUAUAUGACUGUAUAUGGUUGCUUCAGCAUCACUUCCAAUGUUC
rnacentral:lncRNA from 1 species